rnacentral:lncRNA from 1 species
CUCACUCUUCUUGGUCAGUACCACUUCAUUUCAUAAGGCAAGAGUUUCCACUUCCUCCACUUCUUUUUUCACUGUCCACACGACCAGGAAUAAGGUUGAAGUAGAGGCUCUCUUGAAAUGGAAAUCUACUUUUGACAACCAUAGCCAAUCUCUCCUCUCUUCAUGGCACGGUGACAAUCCUUGCCGCUUUACCGGUGUCGCUUGCAACUACUACGGAGCCAUCACCCAUCUAAAUCUUUCCUAUGUCAGUUUGAGAGGAACUCUAGACGGCCUUGACUUCUCACGCUUAGCCAGUGUGGUUAGCUUUGAACUUGCCAACAACUCAAUCUAUGGCUCCAUCCCCUCAGUAUUGGUAACCUUUCCAAACUCAACUUUCUGGUCUUGCUUCAUGACUGUCAGGGGAAAUCCUCGAGUAUAAGUAUGCUGGAGAGUCUGCUUAAUUUGCCCUUUGUGCCAACAACUUGAGUGGACAUAUUCCUACCUCUCUUGGAAAAUUAGGCAAUUUAAUCAAACUAAGCAUUUCGCGAAAUAACUUAUUUGGUUCCAUUCCACAAGAAAUAUGCAACAUGAGGAGCUUGACAUUUCUUUUGGUAUGGCAAAAUAGAUUAUCAGGAUCCAUUCCUUUAGAAAUUGGGAGGCUCACUUCUCUCAAUAAACUUGACCUAUCAUCCAACAAUCUCACCAACUCAAUUCCUAAUUCCAUCGGAAACUUGUCAAAUUUAUCUCUACUUAACCUCUUCCAAAAUAAUUUGGUCGGUCCAAUCCCUACUUCUCUUGGAAAAUUGGGCAACUUAACCAUAUUUGACAUUUCACAAAAUGCCAUUUUUAGUUCCAUUCCACAAGAAAUAUGCAACUUGAGGAGCUUGACCCUUCUUUUUUUAUGGGGAAAUAAAUUGUCAGGAUCCAUUCCUUCAGAAAUCAUGAGGCUCACUUCUCUCAAUAAACUUGACCUAUCAUACAAUGAUCUCAUCGGCUCAAUUCCUCAUUCCAUCGGAAACUUGUCAAAUUUAUCUAUGCUUAACCUUGUCCAAAAUAAUUUGGUUGGUCCAAUCCCUACUUCUCUAGAAAAAUUAGGCAACUUAACCAUAUUUGACAUCUCACAGAAUGCCAUUUUUGGUUCCAUUCCUUCAAAUAUUGGGAGAUUGGUAUCUCUAGAAAGAUUGGAUUUGUCAGAGAAUGAUUUGGUUGGUCCAAUCCCAUCGUCUCUCCAGAACUUGAGCAGUCUAAACUUUUUAAGGCUCAACUCAAAUCACCUUUCAGGCUCGAUUCCACAAGAGUUGGGAAAAUUAAUAUCUCUUAUAGUAUUAGAUUUACGUGACAAUGAUUUGACUUAUCCAAUACCUACAUCAGUUGGAAGCCUAUCCAACCUAACAGUAUUAGUCCUUAAUGACAACAAAUUAUUUGGUUCGUUGCCUUCUGAAUUUAAUAAGUUAACGCAUUUGAGACAUUUGGAUCUAUCUAGUAAUGAACUAGAGGGGGAGCUGCCAGAAAAUGUAUGUCUUGGGAGAUCAUUGACAUAUUUCUCUAUCUUCAAUAAUAAUUUCAUGGGUCCCAUCCCAGCAACCCUAAAGAAUUGUAGCACAUUAAUCAGAUUGAGACUAGAAGGAAACCAACUUACUGGAGACAUAACAAAAGCUUUCGGAAUAUAUCCGCAUCUGUAUUUUAUGGACUUGAGCCACAAUCAUUUGAAUGGCAAACUUUCGUGGAAAUGGGUGCAUUAUCGUAAUUUGACGAGCUUAAGGAUAUCAAACAAUAAUAUUUUUGGUAAGAUACCUGCAAUAUUUGGAAGGAUGGCUCAGUUACAGGAACUGGACCUUUCUUCAAAUAGUUUGAGCGGAGAGAUUCCAAGGGAAUUAGGAAGCUUGUCGAUGUUGUUAAAACUUGAUUUAAGCAACAAUGCUAUCAUGGGAAAUGUCCCGACUGAGAUUGGACUUUUAUCCCAUCUAGCAUAUCUGAACUUGGCAUCAAAUAAUUUGAGUAGAUUGGUACCAAGGCAGCUAGGCUCAUGCAAACACUUGUUGAACUUGAACCUAAGCAGAAACAAAUUUCGAAAAAGCAUUCCUCUUGAGAUAGGCAAAAUACAAUCCCUUGAGGUUCUUGACUUGAGUCAUAAUUUGUUGACUGGAAACAUACCAGGAGAGAUUGGAAAGUUGAAAAUGCUGCGAAUUCUAAAUAUCUCCCACAAUGGUCUCUUUGGUUCUAUUCCACAUUCUUUUGGUGAUAUGUUGGCCUUGACUUCUAUUGAUGUAUCAUACAAUGAUCUGGAAGGUCCUCUCCCAAACGUCAAAGCUUUCAAUGAGGCUCCAUUUGAGGCAAUAGAGCAUAACAGAGGGCUCUGUGGAAAUGUUGUUGGCUCACCGAAAUGCAAUUGUACUAGGAGCAAAAAAUGUAAUCAACACGUUGGAGCUAGAAUCAUAGUUAUCCUCAUUCUCUCAUUCUUGGGGUGCCUCCUUCUCUUUUGCACCUCUAUCGUUCUUGUAAUCGUCAAUCAUCGUCGAAGAUGGAUUAUCAAGAGAGACAACAAUGAACGGGCAAAUGAUUUGGAUUUCAUGCAUAUUUUGAGUUAUGAUGGCAAAGUUUUCUACAACCGAAUUGUUGAGGCCACAGAAGGAUUUGACUCCAAGUACUAUGUGGGUGAAGGAGCAUAUGGAAUCGUUUAUAAAGUCAAGAUAUCACAAGGUAAAACAGUUGCCGUCAAGCAAAUCUCUUCAUCCCAGGAGGAUAGUGAGAUUAUUGAUUUGAUACCAUUUGAAAGGGAAAUUCAAGCGUUAACAAACUUACGCCAUCGCAACAUUGUGAAAUUUUAUGGAUUCUGCUCUCAUGUCCAACGUUGUUUUUUGGUGUAUGAGUACAUGGAAGGAGGAAGUUUGAGAACAACUUUGAACGAUGAUGAAAGAGCAAAAGAAUUUCGAUGGGACAAGAGGGUAAAUAUGGUUCGAGGAGUUGCAGAUGCAUUAUCUUAUAUGCAUCACGAAUGUUCACCUCCAUUGAUUCAUCGAGACUUGACUAGCAACAACAUUCUAUUAGAUCGCGAUUAUGAGGCUCGUGUUUCCGAUUUUGGCACCGCAAGGCUGUUGAGGCCAGAUUCAUCAAAUUGGACGACAAUUGCUGGCACAAUCGGGUAUAUCGCUCCAGGUACUCCGUAAUCUUUUUUUCAAUUUCAAUGGGUAGACAUCCCUUCUAUAGUUGAACUUUCACUAGGUUCUUUGAUUAUUUAAUCUUCUUAUGGAAAUUAGUUUACUAAUAUAGAGUUUUCAAGUUUAGUGUUGAUCAUAAAGCUUUCAGAUUUCCCUAAUAAAGAUGAAUUGGAAAAUGAGGAAAAACAUUAUAAUCGAUCCAUUUCAAGGAUUUAAGUUCGCGUUACCUUUAACCCAAGAAAAAAAAAGUUGAUGUUACCUAAAUGAUGCUCGUACUUUAAGCGUCAAAUAAAAUCCUUUGAACUUCACCAAAGAAUAAAUUCCCCUGCUCAAAUAAAUUUUAUAAGUGUAGAUCAAGUAGAAAAUUGUACUUGUAAUCGUUGGAAGCAAUGUUGUCAACUUUAAUACAUCUUGUGAUUAAGUUUAUAAGAAAAUAAGAUUUCUCCACUUGCAGAGCUGGCUUAUUCCACGAUUCCAACCAAAAAGUGCGACGUGUAUAGCUUUGGAGUUGUUGCAUUUGAGACAAUCAUGGGAAAAUAUCCAGGAGAUCAUGUCCCUCGAGAAUAUUCACCGUCUGCCCAAACUGAGUCUUCGAUGAUGUUGAAGGAUGUGCUAGAUCAACGUCUCUCACCAUCUAGACUUUGUCUUCGAGAUGCGCAAAAUGUGAUCUUGAUUGCCAAGCUAGCAUUCGCGUGCUUGCAAGCCGAUCCACGGCUUCGACCGAGUAUGGAACAAGUCUCACAUGAACUUCGUGUUCAAGUACCCUUGGAAAUGCCACUCUCUACAGUCAGCUUAGAGCAACUUCGUGAUCUUGGUGCUAGGAAAUUUGGAGCAUUCAUAGGGGAUGGUAAGUUUUAAAUUUACUUUUCAUGUGUUAUUUUCUUUGGUUCAUUAGAAUGAUGAUGAUCACCUUUAAUAUCCUCUUAGUUCUUGCUCAUCUCCACCAUGUGAUUUAUGAUUUUCACUGCAGAGCCAGCUUGUCUUUAAACGAUACAGGGAUGGUGCGAUGUUUAUUGUUUGGAAUCGUGGCACCAAAAACAAUCAUAGGAAGGCCUCAGGGGAGGUCUUAUUUCACAAUUAUUUCAAAGUUUUUACAGAGCAAUCAGGAAGUAAAUUUGCAAAAUGUAUUGGAUCAACAUCCAUUACCUUCUUUUACUCGAGAUGUGAAGAACAUGUAGUCUUUGCUUCUAGAAGUGAUAAUGAUAUUAAUUGCUCGUGAAAUUUUUAUCAAAGUGCAGUAUCAUACUUGAACUUUCAAUUAGUUCAAUGAAAUCACUUUUGACUAAUGGGCAAUACUAAAUAGGGAAUUUGAAUUGGUUCAAUUACAUAGGACAAAUGGUCUACCUAAUUUUUAGACUCAAUCAACAUAAGUUGAUCAUUCAAACUUAUAGAGCCAUAAAACUAGUAAAACUGGAAAAAUUUCAUAUUUCUCACACAAAGUCCAUUCUCAGUUCUUUAAACUUCAAAGGAAUAUGUGCACUACAAGUCCUAAAACUUGUCAUGAAAGUAUAAUUGAGUCUUAAAAUUUUCAAAAAAUUCAAUUAAGUUCUAAAACUUGUCAAAUUGGUGCAAUUAAGUCAUUCCGUUAACACCAUUGAUCUGUCUAACGAAAAAUGAUUGCGUGGCAUUGUUAAAUUCAUUUCCCUCUCAUACGUGGCAUUUUUAUUAAUUUUCCUUCAAAUUUUAUUUAAAUAAUAUUAAAAAGCUAAAAUAAUUUUAAGAAAAAAACUGGAAAAAGAAGAACAAAAACGGACAAGGGCUCGCUAGUGCAGUGGGUGUUGCCAUCCCUUCGCCAGGUAGGGUGAAGUCUUGCUGGCGAGGGAACUUGUUGGCGAGGUUCCCCUAGAUCUGGGCAACGUUGGCCCUUGCUCGAGCCUAAUAAGAGUCUUUGGCACAAGCAAGGGCCCACAUCAAGCAAAUUUGGGCGUGCCACACUAGCCCCAGGCAAGGGUUGGCAAGGCCUUGCCUAGGCCUAGCAAUGGUCAUCGGCCCUCCUAGGGCCAACAACGCCUCAUUUGAGGUGGGCGAUGGUCACUGACCUCGGGGAGGGCUGAUGUUGCUAGAUUUGGGUAGCCUCAACCCAAUCUGGAUAAAUAUUGCUGGCUAUUGACACCUAAAUUUUGACUAAGUAUGUACGGUUAAAUUGCAAGAAAAUUAGGGAUCGAUUCGACCAUAACAAAAAGGAUUUUCACAUCGCAUAAGCAUUAAUUUCUUUUGCAUCUGCUAAGUUUUAUUUUCAUUUAAUUUUCCCUUAUUUUACCUUAAUUUCGGAUAAAAAAUAUUUUAAAAAGGGGGCUUGCGAGGCUCAGCCCCCUUUCCCUCUUUUUCCCCGCGCGCGGGCCCAGGCCCAUUCCACCUAUUAUUUCCCUCAGCCCGGCCCUUCCCCCUUUUCUUCUCCUUCUUCCUUCCUCCUUCCUCCUUCCUCCUUCGUGAAUCUCCCGCUCGAGAGCCCACGGAAGGAGAGAGAAAUCGAGAGAGAGAGAGAGAGAGAGGCCGAGAGAGUGAGCGAGAUCUGAGAGAAAUCCGGCCGUGAAAGAGAGAGAAUGCAACUGAGAGGGCCACCCUUGGCCGCCAUUUCUGAACCAGAACCGAUGAUCUGCCGCCGCUCCUUGUCCACUCUAAAGCCACGGUAGAUCCCCGUUCAGGCGAUCUUGGCUUUUUUCGAUUCGGCGGCCUCCCGAGGAUCCCGGAUCGCGGGCGUGUGAGGCGGACGGACGUAGCCCGAUCUAUCGAGCUCGUCCGCUGUCUGACGCCGCGAGCUGGGUAGGGACUCUCGACCGACCGCCUUUGUUUGUUUUUUUUUUUUUUUUUUUUGGUGCCCAUGCCCUGUUUCGGGCUCACCGGACCGGCCUGCCGCUUUCCGGUUCGUGCGAGUUUCCGGCCUUAUUUGUGUGCGUACUACUGUCUCGGGGCCUAGCGUGUCAAUUUCUGUGAAUCCCGGCUCGAGCCCGGGCUCGGUCGUCCCCGUUCCUCACCCCCAGUUUGCAUAUAUCCUGCUCGACGAAAUGCCCAAGUAAGAUUUGUGCGGUUGAUUCUUAGUUCUCCGUCCGUCGUGGGUGCUCGUCGCUCGUCAAACGCAUUUUGAUAAAUCCUCAUUGCUAUCCUUCGCUUUGCACGUUCUUGUUUCGACGUUCUUUGUGUGCGCGUCGUGUUUCCAGGCAACCGUUUCAUGGCCGGCAAAGAGGAAAGACGGUGGUGGUUAUGGCCAUGGAUGACAGCCGCGUGAUGGCUGGACAUGGCUCUAGCGGCACCCGUGUUUUUUUAAAAAGAUUUGCGUUUCGUUGGCGUUUGAGUUAGCGAGUCUCCUCGGUCCAUCGAAAAAAAGGUUCGCGUGUUCCGGGAGGGGGUUCUGCGAGCAGCUCGCAUGGGAGGAGAGACGAGAGCGAGAAAGGGAAAGAGAAAAUGAAAAAGCGAAAACGACAAAAGAAGGAAAAGACAAAAGAGGAAGGAGGAAAAAAGAAAAGGGGAAAUACGGGAAGAAGCGGUCUUUUUUCUUGCUAGCUGUUCGGAGGGAGCGCGACCCGGGUCGGUCCGGUCGGACCCAAAUCGGGCCGGCGCCCGGUGUCAGCUUAUUAUUAUUAUUAUUAUCAUUAUCAUUAUCAUUAUCAUUAUUUAGUUUUUAAAAAAUCAAAUAAAAAAGAAAUAAAAAAAUCCAGAAAAAUCUCUUUUUUAGGGAAAGGCCUAAAAUUGAUUUUGGGCAUUUUUCUCUAAAAAAUGCAUGAAAAAUCCUUUAGAAAUUUCAGAAAGUAGCAAAAGGCCCAAAAUGGUUUUGUUUUGGAGUAUUUGUAAUGCAUGAAAAAUCUUUCAAAAAAAAUAAUAAUAAUCAAAUCUUGAUGUUUAAAUAAGAUUAUGUCCCAAAAGGGUAUUAGUUGAUUAAUUGUUGUAAUCAAGUUCUCAAUCUUGAUUUUUUCGGUUAUGUAGGAGUCAAAUAUUUCUCAUAAUAUUUUACUUGGGUUUUUAAUCGAUUCACCCCAAAUCGAUUAGUGAUGAUUUCUAAAUGAAAAUAACUUAUAUGUUAAAAACUCGGACCAUAAGUCGCAAAUUGAUAAGCUUGAGAGAAUCCGAACUAAGCCUAGACUUAGAGCUAGCCAUUAGCCUCCACACCCGUGAAUAGAACUUUGGGGAGUUUGCGAUACCAAUUCUUGCCUAGGGUUGGCAAGGCCUCGGUUGGGGCCGUCAAGGGCCGGCUACCUUCAGUGGCCCCUCCUACGAUGGGUGGUAGUGGCACAACACACUAGCGAGUCCCUGCCCUUUUUCGUUAUUCUUUUCCGAACUUUUUGACUAAACGAAAAAUUAAAGAUCCAUAAGAUUAAUUAUCAUAAAUAAAAUCAUAAGGCAAAACAAAAAUCAUAACAUUGCAUAAAUAUUAGCAACAAAUAUGGGUCUAAUUUUAUUUUUAUUCCCAUAACUAUCACAUGAAGCUGUUCAUUUAUGCAAGCAUAACUCCUCUUACAAAAGAGAAAUUAGGCGAGCCAAUCCACAUGAUACACAAGAAUUUGACGGCAAUGAAAACCGUCCGUCCGUCGGAUGCUGCAAGAGGGAGCAGGUGAGGGAGGGAAGCGAGUGAGGAAGAGGAACGACGAAGGAGGAGUGCCGUGCAUGUCUGAGAGAGACAAGAGAAAAAAUGCUGCGUGAUUGCAGGAGUAAGAAUAGAAAUCAGGGGAAAAAAAGAAGGUUUUGGACCUCUACUUACAAAACCGGUUCCCAAACUGAUUCCAAAACCAGUUUGGGAACCAAUUUCUGGGUGGGUAAUCACUCGGAACCGAUUCCCAGAUUGGUUUAAACCGGUUCCCGGACCAUUUUCAAUGGGAACCGGUUCCUGACCUUAUUUUUUGGGUGGGUCAGUCCAGUUCUCGAGUAUACUCGGUCCGGUUGCACACCUCUAGUUGUAACACUAAAGCUUGUAAUAUUGAUACUAACAGUAGAAGAUUGCCUAGUGCGGCAUCGUAAUUUUUCCCUUUUAUUUAUUUAUUUUAUUUUGGGAAGGUUUUCUACGUAAAAAUUCUCGCUUGUUUUCUUUUCUAAUUUUCUCUUCAUAUAUUCACAUUUCCAACAAUUAAGUCCCUUAACUUUUGUAUGUGUGCAUUAUAAGUCACAAACUUUCAAUUGGUUCCGUCAAAUACCUCUACAAUUUGAAUAAAAUGACAUGGGAAGGUGCGAAGCCUGAUUGACCUAAUAAAUAUUGCCAUAUUGCCCAUUUAAGAUAUUCAAUAGUUGGGAUGGAGCUUGGAACGGGGUUCCGUAGGAAAUUAGGCUAAGAUCCAGAGAUUUCCGAUUUGUUACUAGUAAUGUGGUAUCUUAUGAGCUCAAGGGCGAACUUGGCGAACCUAGCGAACUUAAACAUCUUAGUAGCUAGGCAAUCGUUGUAUGAUGCUAUCUAGUUCCCCCUAUCCGAAAAUACAUCUACAAGCGCUUGUUGGCCCCCUACCGGUUAUUGUAUGAGGUUUACCCAAUGCUAGAUGUAGAGGCACAUCAUAGAUCGAUAUGAACAUCAUGAACUGUCCUGCAAUAAAGCCCAUUGGAAAUCACCUAUCCAAUCUCUUUUUUUUUCUUCGAUCCAACAUGCCUUCUUGCAUGGACUUGGGCCUACUUUGAUGAUGGGUAGUCUUGUUGUGCUUUGGCCCUUCUAUGGGCUUUCAUCAAAGAAAGCGGGCUUGAUAGGCCCGGAGAGAAAUAGUAAUCAUGGCUACUAAUAAAAUAAGACUCGGAACCAAAAACCAAACGAAAUGGUAGGUAUAAAGUAAAUUGCCCAAUGUUUUUAAAUUAGCUAAACUUCGUUCGAGAUAUGACAACUCUUUUUUUUUUUAUAGUAAAAAAUGGUAUAGAAAUUAUAAAUUCAUCCCUCCAUUUUAUCUGCUGUGAAUGCUACCACUGCUUGAGUACUCUCGCUCUUGCUUAUCUUGCUACAACAAAGCAAGCUUAGGAAUGAAUUGAAUGGAAAUUUAGGUCUCUGUCCCCACCUACCAAUUGUAGAAGUAGGAUCUUUGGCAAGCAAUAAGCACUUAAAUAAUACAAUUUCGGCUUGUCUCCAUUUUCGUGAAACUAUUCCUCAAGCAAGACAGCCGAUAAGUCAUUGAAGGGUUUGCGUGAAUAAUGGAAUGGUAAGCAUUACUCAUUUGAAAGUAUCCCAUGGUGAUCUAAUAUCUUUCCAAGAAAAUGAUGCGAGAAUCCGCGGUGAAGAAUUAAGGAGAUCUUUCUAUAUUGAAAUAUCAAUUGAUAAAAUCAUAGGCAAAUUCCUGCCGAUAAGAAUGUAGAGAAGAAUGAAAACAGAAUGGUUCCACCUACUCAAAACUAAGAGAAGAUGCACCUGCAGUCUGGACUCUUGUAGGCGACGUUGUUGCGGAUGGCUUCCAUUUUUAAAAGAAAACCAACAAGCUUCCAAGGUUGGGGCCAUGAGUUGGCUUUCUUGAACUCCUAGUAAAGGCGAACAGCUAUUUUAGGAUUAUAUAAGCUAUAAGCACUGAAGUGCGAAACUAACUUAAAGACAUGGGACAUCGAUUAAGUAAAACUUAAUGGAGAAAGGCAAGGAUGACGGUGACUCUGAAACUAAUCAAACCAUUUAAGGAAUUUUGAAUAUGGAGAGUAAGAAACCUUAUGAAAAGGUCUAAAUAAAUUGAGAACAAGAUGAUGCGAUGGUUUUAAUGUUGGAAGUUUAUGAAAAUUUCGAGUAUGUAUACUUGAUAGAACCCUCAAAAUCUGAUUAAACCAACUUAUGGACUGGACCGCUUACGAUCUGAAAGGCUAAUCUCACAUUAUGUUGAAACGAGGGGCUUGCCUCGAGCUAAAAUUCACAGCGACUUUACUUGAAUAGCUCAACAAGACCAAAACGCAAGUCGAUGACAUGACAGCUUCAUUAGAGCACUAACAUCAUAAAUGCCUUUGCGGUGUUAUAUCUUACUCAAUUAUUCAAUUCCAGUGGAUGAAGUCGAGACCAUAAUGACUACUAUAAUUAGACCCAUCAUUUACCGAGAUUAAGUCAAGACACAAUGACGUUUUUAUCGUGGUCGAACUCAAGUUAACUGGAUUUAUGCAAAGCUCAGUAUCCAGUUCGACCUUGAUUUAGUUGUUCAAUAAAUUCAAGCCCGACUAUUCGAUUCUGCAAUUAGCAAGUAAGUCUGUUGGGAGCUGGAGUCUAGAUCGAGUCUAACUCAAGUAAGAAUUGAGAGAUACUGCAAAAGGGAGUAUAAAAAAUUAAUGCUGUCUUUCUAUAUAUUGUAUUUAUAGUCUGAUCAUAUGUAUGCACUCAAACAUAAUUCAACAGCUCGAUUAGCUUGGCUCCAAAGCAAGAUACUCAAGUUAGGCCGGCCCAGUUAAGAACUUACUUGGACUUAGCAAAAUUCAAAGAAUCCAUCUCGUGUCUCACGAGUAGCAUGAUUAGUUUCCAUUUCUACGCGCAACUUUUUCGUUACGCAUACCUCCGAACGAUUAUGACUUGAUUAUUACUAUCUAAAAUUAGGCAUUUCGCAUGAACAAGAUGCGUACAUUGAGUUUGAUAGGGAAUGGGUGACCAUUGGCUUCCCUUUUUAUUCACCGUGAAUAAUACGAGAAGAAAGCUAUACACACUCCAGUUGGAUUGGCGUCUUUCUAAGGUUACUAAAAAUGGCACGCGCGUUGCCGGGAAAAUAUGAAAUUUUUUGUAAAAUACUUUUUUUAGUGAAAAGAUUAUAAUCAAUGGUGAAAAAUAAAAAAUAAAAAACAUAACUCAUGUGGCCUCAUAUCGGGCGAUCUUCUUAUCAUGUAAGCCAAUACCCCACACAAAAAUUUCAAUUCUAUAUAGUACAAACUAAGAAUUUAACUUUUCGAGAAGCUGUGUCCUUUCAUGUUACAAGCAAUCAGGAAUUUUGUUGAAGCCGAAAUAUUGAGCUAAACUUCACCAAAGCAUGACAACAAUGAUGAGACUCUCAGAAAUAAAAACGCCAAUUCCAAAUCAAACGAAUUCUCAUGAAUAUCAUCUGUCAAAAGCAGCAACUGAAUGGAAAUAAUCUGCACGCUGUGACUUAUUUCAGAAAGGGUUUGAGUCUAUUUCCUUGCUUUUUAUUACUGUCAAUUGGAAGAGUUCUUUAGAAAGCCCGUAGAAAAAGUGAAGCCAAAGAUUGUUUUUGCCCCAACCAUCAGGAAAUCACGGCUUGAACAAGCCAAUGGGUCGAUGAGAAAUUUUGAGAAUUCUUAUAAAAAUCUGAAUUUUUAUAUCACACAAAUAAUUGAAAGAGAAUCCCAUUCCACGAAUCAAAUCACUUGAAACGAAAAUCCGGAUAGGAAUCAAUAUCAAUGGACUUGUGGCAACUCACAGACCAGAGAGAGAUGAUAAGUCUCACAAAUUGAUGUGAAUAACUAGUGAUUCAAGAGUACGGAUCCUCAAAUCGACCAUUUUCCAUAAAUUUGCUCGACAUGUUAGUUUCAAUGAAGACUUGGAAAAGUAAGUCAAGCAUGCUUGUCCUAAGAGCAAAGUACACUCCAAACUGAUUGAAAAGGGGAAGGUAAAAAGAUUCUAAAAGCCCUAAACUUUGUCUAGUGUGACAAAAUUAUCCUAAUUUUUUUUUGUAACACAAAAAUCCCAAACUUUGUCAAUUAUGACACAUUUAUCCCAAACUAUAGGGCAUUUUCGUCUUUUAUUUUUAUUUAUUUUUUCUUGUUGUUUUAUUUUUUUCUUUUCUUUUUCUUCUUCUCUCUUCCCUCCGCCGGCCAGACGGAGGGAAGAAUUUAACUUUUCGAGAAUCUUUGUGUCCCUUCAUGUUACAAGCAAUCAGGAAUUUUUUUGAAGCCAAAAUAUCAAGCUAAACUUCACCAAAGCAUGACAACAAUGUGAGACUCUCAUAAAUAAAAAUGCCAAUUCCAAAUCAAACGAAUUCUCAUGAAUAUCAUCUGUCAAAAGCAGCAACUGAAUGGAAAUAAUCUGCACGCUGUGACUUAUUUCAGAAAGGGUUCGAGUCUAUUUUCUUGCUUUUUAUUACUGUCAAUUGGAAGAGUUCUUUAGAAAGCCCGCAGAAAAAGUGAAGCCAAAGAUUGUUUUUGCCCCAUCACCAUCAGGAAAUCACGGUUUGAACAAGCCAAUGGGUUGAUGAGAAAUUCUGAGAAUUCUUCUAAAAAUCUGAAUUUUUAUAUCACACAAAUAAUUGAAAGAGAAUCCCAUUCCACGAAUCAAAUCACUUGAAACGAAAAUCCGGAUAGGAAUCAAUAUCAAUGGACUUGUGGCAACUCACAGACCAGAGAAAGAUGAUAAGUCUCAUGAAUUGAUGUGAAUAACUAGUGAUUCAAGAAUAUGGAUCCUCAAAUUGACCAUUUUCCACAAAUUUGCUUGACAUGUCAGUUUCAAUGAAGACUUGGAAAAGUAAGUCAAGCAUGCUUGUCCUAAGAGCAAAGUACACUCCAAAUUGAUCGAAAAGGGGAAGGGAAAAAGAUUCCAAAAACCCUAAACUUUGCCUAGUGUGACAAAAUUAUCCUAUAUAUAUAUUUGUAACACAAAAAUCCCAAACUUUGCCAAUUAUGACACAUUUAUCCCAAACUAUAGGGCAUUUUCGUCUUUUACUUUUAAUUUUUUUUUUCUUGUUUUUUUUUUUCUUUUCUUUUUCUUCUUCUCUCUUCCCUUCGCCGGCCAUGACGGAGGGAAGAAUUUAACUUUUCGAGAAGCUUUGUGUCCUUUCAUGUUACAAGCAAUCAGGAAUUUUGUUGAAGCUGAAAUAUCGAGCUAAACUUCACCAAAGCAUGACAACAAUGAUGAGACUCUCAGAAAUAAAAACGCCAAUUCCAAAUCAAACGAAUUCUCAUGAAUAUCAUCUGUCAAAAGCAGCAACUGAAUGGAAAUAAUCUGCACGCUGUGACUUAUUUCAGAAAGGGUUCGAGUCUAUUUUCUUGCUUUUUAUUACUGUCAAUUGGAAGAGUUCUUUAGAAAGCCCGUAGAAAAAGUGAAGCCAAAGAUUGUUUUUGCUCCAACCAUAAGGAAAUCACGGCUUGAACAAGCCAAUGGGUCGAUGAGAAAUUUUGAGAAUUCUUCUAAAAAUCUGAAUUUUUAUAUCACACAAAUAAUUGAAAGAGAAUCCCAUUCCACGAAUCAAAUCACUUGAAACGAAAAUCCGGAUAGGAAUCAAUAUCAAUGGACUUGUGGCAACUCACAGACCAGAGAGAGAUGAUAAGUCUCACGAAUUGAUGUGAAUAACUAGUGAUUCAAAAAUACGGAUCCUCAAAUCGACCAUUUUCUACAAAUUUGCUUGACAUGUCAGUUUCAAUGAAGACUUAGAAAAGUAAGUCAAGCAUGCUUGUCCUAAAAGCAAAGUACACUCUAAACCGAUUGAAAAGGGGAAGGGAAAAAGAUUCCAAAAACCCUAAACUUUGACUAGUGUGACAAAAUUAUCCUAAACUUUUUUUUUGUAACACAAAAAUCCCAAACUUUGUCAAUUAUGAGACAUUUAUCCCAAACUAUAGGGCAUUUUCAUCUUUUACUUUUAAUUUUUUUCUUGUUGUUUUCUUUUUUCUUUUCUUUUACUUCUUCUCUCUUCCCCCCCCCCCCCCACCCCAACGUUGAGCAAGGGCCGCCCUCACCCUAUCCGGGGAGGGCAACCCUCGCCUGACGCAGGCGAGGUCAUUCCUUGCUAGAUCCAGCCCAGGUGAGGGCUGUCCUCGUCAAAUCUAGCAAGGGCUAUCCUUGCCUAGGUCGACGAGGUUUGUCUUUGCUUGACCUUGCUGAGCUAAGUGAGGGUAGCCCUCGCCCAAUGCCGGCGACAACGGCCCUCACCUAAGUCCGCCUUCCCUUCGCCAUGGCCGAUGGAGGGAAGAGAGAAGAAGGAAAAAGAAUGGGAAAAGAAGAAGAAGAGGAAAGACGGAAAAAUAAAAAAAAUUUUAAAAAAAAAUUAAAAGACAAAAAUGCCAUUGGAAAUAGAGUUUAGGGUAAAUGUGUCAUAGUUGGAAAAAUUUGGGAUGUCUUGUGUCAUAAAAAAAAAUUGGGGUAAAUUUGUCAUUCUGGGCAAAAUUUACGAUUUUUAGUGGCUUUUUCCCAAAAAUGAAAAGAUAUAGUAUUUUAAUGAACAACUGCUUUAGAGUAUUAAUUUUGAAAUCUACUGUUUAUUUUGGUCCUCUCGCUUAGAACUAAUAUUUAUGGAAUUAUCAUUUUCAUCUCGCUCUUUUUCAUAUUUUACUAUCUUGAUUUUUCCAUGAAUUAAUUUUCAAGGAACUUGUCUUAAUAGUAUGAUACAAUAACGUGUAGUCUAACAUGGGAUUAUAUAUCUUUCUCAGAUAUCAAUAGGAUAUCAGCAAAUCGAUAAAUUGUUUAGGCACAAACAAACAUAAGGGGGUGAGUUUGUGAUCUAAGGAAAUUUCAAAAAAUUUCUAGUGAAGAGCAUGCACUAGUACUCUAGAGAGAAACGUGCAUAUACAAAAUACUUAUCUUCCAUCAGUGAAAGGCAUUUAAAAAUAGAAGAAUUGCAAAGCAUAUUUAUGGGACUUUGGCCUGUCCAUUUGGCUUACUCAGCUCUCUCAGCUUUAACUGUCCAAACAAAUACUGGAACCCACUAUAUAAUCCUUGAGAUAUUACUGCAUCCAAAGAUAGUUCCUUCUACUUGUAACUUUGCUUUUACAUAUAAUUUGUAUAACGUAUUGACAAAGUUUCUCUACAUAUCUUGUCAUCAAUUCAUGUGCCUACUAUUACUCUCGGAUAUUUAAAGAAUAUAAUCCGUUAUGUUCAAGAUUAGAACAUGAGGAUAAUGUUUUUGGUAGUGUGGCAUAAUAGCUCAACAACAAUGAAUUUGCGCGAUGGUCAUUGAUUGGUGAGCGGCGUAAUUCUUGUCUUUUGAGUGACCAAAAGCAAGUUGGAAGUAUGGAAACGCGGGUCGAGAGCACCUAGUAUCUAGGAAUGUAAUCCCUUCCAUCCUUUGGAUGGUCGUAGCUGAUCAUAGCAGGAUUUACUCGUAUUGAUCCAUCAAUCGCACAUGGCCAUGACCAUCCAACAUGUACAUAGACCGUAUGGGGAUAGAUCCAAACAUAUUAAUAUCAAGUAAUAAUCAAAGUGUGCUCCUUGACUAUAUAAGAAAGAUUAUGUUAAGUAAUCGGUUGGUGCAUAUAGAUAACCUACAUGGGACCCAACUGAAUUUCAUAAUUUUUUGCUGAACCGAAUUCGAUUCGUAUAAGGUUGAACUGCUGCCCUUGUAAGGGAGAGAAGGUACAAUAUUCUGGAAAUGAGAGAAAAGGCAUGCUAAAAUGAGUGGCCUCAUACUUGCAUCAUCAUUCUCCGAUAAUAUCGAUUAUCACUCUCAUACAGUUUUGACUUAAGACCUAAGCAAAUUAAUAACUUGCACUUUGAGUAUACCAACACUUAAGUUGAUCAAUUUUUCAUAUAUUUACUUGACUGGCUAGGUCAAUUUCAAUGAAGGCUCGAAAAAGUAGGUCGGGCAUGGAUAUUAAAAAUGAUCAAGAUGCCAUAAAAUGCCCCCUCAGAAGUACGGGUUUCUGAUUUUGGCACCACACGACUAUUAUUCAUCAAAAUGGACUGCAUUAGCUGGUAUUAUCGACUACAUCUCUCUAGGUAUUUAUGACCUUUAUAAUUUCUUUCUUUUCAAUGACAUUAAGGAUCCAGAAAGGCACUGUAAUUGAUCUGGCUAGUUCAAGGAUACUAAAUUUAUGUAAUCAAAAUGAUAUCUGCUCGUAAUUUUUUACCUAUACCCAUCACAUGAAGAGGAAUCCAUGUCGUUGACUCAAGUGUAGCUGAUGAGGUUAUGAACAAGUUUUGAUAUCUUCACUUGCAGAGCUGGCUUAUUCUACAAUACCAACUGAAAAAUGUGAUGUGUAUAACUAUGGAGUCAUCACGUUAGAGACAAUCAUUGGAAAGUAUUCGGAAGAUAUUUUUUCUUGGGAAUAUUCAUCAUCCACCGAAAUUGAGUUGCCAAUACUGUUAAAGGAUGUGCUAGAUCAACGUCUGUCGCCUUCCAGAGUUUGACUUCAAGAUGCGGAAGACGUGAUCUCUAUCGCAUGGCUAGCAUUCAAGUGUCUGCGAGCCAAUCCGCGGCUUCAACCGUCCAUGAGACAAGUUUCUCGGAAGCUCCGCGUUCAAGUACCCCUGGAGAUGCCAUUCUGUGCAGUCACGUUUUGAGCAUCGGAAGGGGAUUGUAAGUUUUGAAGUUAGCUUUACGGGUGCACCGUUUGCUGUUUGUUUGUUUGUUUUUAUUUAUUUAUUUUUGGUGGGGGGGGGGGGGGGUGUUCAGUCUGUUGGGUAUUUAAGUCUCCAGCAAAAAGUUAAUACUCUUGCUAAGAACAGUUGCUUCUCUUUUGCGGGCUUAUCAGGAUUAUAAGAGCCAAUCUUACUCGACAAUUUGGAUUAUCUUCUUAGUCCUUACCAAUCCCACCAUCUUAAUUAUUUUAACUUCAGAGCUUGUUAACCUUUGAACAUUAUUCGAUCACUGCCGCGUCGGCAAUUGUACUUGGAGUCGUGGCAUCAAAAAUAAUCAUGGGAAGGCUUCUGUGGGGGUCUUACUUCACUAUGGUUUCCAGCUUAUCGCAAUGAGAUCAGGAAAGAUUUUGCAAAAUGCAUCAGAUCAACAUCGUUGAAUGUAGUUUUCCAUUUCGAAAGGGAUAAUGAACCUACUAGUCAGUAAAAAUUUGUCUGGGUGCAAUUCAAACUCUAGUUGAUUCAACUCACUCCCUUAACUUUUGUAUGUGUGCAAUAUAAGUCCCAAACUUUCAAUUGGUUCUGUCACAUCCCUCUACAAUUUUAAUAAAAUGACAUGGGACAUCAAUUCAGUAAAACUUAAUGGAGAAAGGCAAGGAUGACAGUGACUCCGAAACUAAUCAAACCAUUUAAGGAAUUGUGAAUAUGGAGGGUAAGAAACCUUAUGAAAAGGUCUAAAUAAAUUGAGAACAAGAUGAUGCGAUAGUUUUAAUGUUGGAAGUUUAUGGAAAUUUCGACUAUGUAUACUUGAUAGAACCCUCAAAAUUCGAUUAAACCAACUGAUGGACUGGACCGCUUACCAACUGAAAGGCUAAUCUCACAUCAUGUUGAAACUAGGGGCUUGCGUCGAACUAAAAUUCACGGCGACUUUACUUGAAUAGGUCAACAAGACCAAAACGCAAGUCGAUGACACGACAGCUUAAUUAGAGCACUAACAUCAUAAAUGCCCAUGGAGUGUUAUAUCUUAUUAAAUUAUUCAAUUCCAGUGGAUGAAAUCGAGAACAUAAUGACUACUAUAAUGAGACCCAUCAUUUACCGAGAUUAAGUGGCAUAAAUCAAAACAAAUCGACAUUUCCAUCGUGGUCGAGCUCAAGUUAACUGGAUUUAUGCAAAGCUCAAUAUCCAGUUCGACCUUGAUUUAGCUUUCAAUAAAUUCAUGCUCGACUAUUCGAUUCUACAAUUAGCAAGUAAAUCUGCUGUGAGCUGGAGUAUAGCUCGAGUCUAACUCAAGUAAGAAUUGAGAGAUACUACAAAAGGGAGUAUAAAAAAUAAUGCUGUUUUUCUAUGUAUGGUAUUUAUAGUCUAAUCAUAUGCAUGCACUCAAAUGUAAUUCAACAGCUCGAUUAGCUUGGCUCCAAAGUAAGAUACUCAAGCUAGGCAUUUUCAAGCAUGAACUCAGCCCAAUUAAGAACUUCUUAAUUGGACUCGGCCAAAUUCAAAGAAUCCAUCUCGUAUCUCACGAGUAGCUUGAUUAGUUUCCAUUUCUACGUGCGACUUUUUCGUUACGUAUACCUCGAAACAAUUAUGACUUGAUUAUUACUAUCUAAAAGUGGGCAUUUCGCAUGAACAAGAUUCGUUCAUUGAGUUUGAUAGGGAAUGGGUGACCACUGCCUUCCCUUUUUAUCCACCGUGAAUAAUACAAGAAGAAAUCUAUACACACUCCAACAGGAUUGGUGUCUUUCUAAGGUUACUAGAAAUGGCACGCGCAUUGUCGGGAAAAAAUUAAAAUUUUUGUGAAAUACUUUUUUUAGUAAAAAGAUUAUAAUCAGUGGUUAUUAAAAAAAAAAAAAACUCGUCUGGUUACAUAUCGUGCAAUUUUCUUAUAUUAUAAGUCAAUACCCCACGCUAAACUUUUAAUUGUAUAUAAUACAAAAUAAGAAUUUAACUUCUCGAGAGGCUUUGCGUCCUUCCAUGUUACAACCAAUCAGGAAUUUUUUUUGAAACUGAAAGAUCGACCUAAACUCCACCAAAGCAUGACAACAAUCACGAGACUUCAGAAAUAAAAACGCCAAUUCCAAAUCAAACGAACUCUCAUGAUUAUCAUCUAUUAAAAGCAGCAACUGAAUAGAAAUAAUCUGAACGCUGUGACUUAUCUUGGAAAGGGUUCGAGUCUAUUUCCUUGCUUUCCAUUAAUAUCAAUCGGAAGAGUUCUUUCAAAAGCCCGAAGAAAAAGUGAAGCCAAAGAUUUUUUGCCCCUUCACCAUCAGGAAAUCACAGUUUGAACAAGCCAAUGGGUCAAGAAUUUUGAGAAUUCUUCUAAAAAUCUGAAUUUUUAUAUCACUGAAAUAAUCAAAAGUGAAUCCGAUUCCACGAAUCAAAUUACUUGAAAUGGAAAUCCGGAUAGGAAUCAUUAUCAAUGGACUUGUGGCAACUCAAAGGCCAGAGCAAGAUGAUAAGACUCACGAAUCGAUGUGAAUAACUAGUGGUUCAAGAAUACAAACCCUCAAAUUGGCCAUUUUCCACAAAUUUGCUUGACAUGUUAAUUUCAAUGAAGACUUGGAAAAGUAAGUCACACAUGCCUAUCCUAAGAGCAAAGUACACACCAAACUGAUUGAAAAAGGAAAAGAUACAAUGUUUUAAUGAAAAACUGCUUUAAAGUACUAAUUUUGAAAUCUACCAUUGAUUUUGGUCCUCUCGCCUAGAACUAAUAUAUAUGGGAUGAUCGUUUUCAUCUCACUCUUUCUCAUAUUUUACUGUCUUGAUUUUUCCACGAAUUAAUUUUCAAGGAACUUGUCUUAAUAGUAUGAUACGAUAACGUGUAGUCUGACAUGGGAUUAUAUAUCCUUUUUUCACAUAUCAAUAGGAUAUCAGCAAAGCGAUAAAUUGUUUAGGCACAAACAAACAUAAGGGUGGUGAGUUUGUGAUCUAAGGAAAUUUCAAAAAAUUUCGAGUGAAGAGCAUGCACUAGUGCUGUAGAGAGAAACUUGCAUAUACAAAAAAGUUAUCUUCCAUCGAUGAAAGGCGUUUAAGAUAUAGAAGAAUUGCAAAGCAUAUUUAUAGUACUUCGGCCUAUCCAUUUGGCUCACUCUACUCUUCCAGCUCUAACAGUCCAAACAAAUACUGGAACCCACUAUAUCAUCCUUGAGAUGUUACUACAUCCGAAGAUAAUUCCUUCCUUCUACUUGUAACUUUGCUUUUACAUAUAAUUUGUAAAACUUAGUGACGAAGUUUCUCUACAUAUCUUGUCACCAAUUCGUGUGCCUACUUUUACUCUCGGAUUUUUAAAGAUUAUACUGCGUUAUGUUCAAUAUUAUAACAUGAGGAUUAGGUUUUUGGUAGUGUGGCAUAGGAGCUCAACAACAAUGAAUUUGCGUGAUGGUUAUUGAUUGAUGACCGGUGUGGUUCUUGUCUUUUGAGCGACCAAAAGCAAGUUGGAAUUUUGGAAACGCAGGUCGAGAGCACCUAAUAUCUAGGAAUGUAAUCCCUUCCAUCCCUUGGAUGGUUGUAACCGAUCAUAGCAGGAUUUACUCGUAUUGAUCCAUCAAUCGCACAUGGCCAUGACCAUCCAAUCCGUAUAUCGACCAUAUGGGGAUAGAUCCAAACAUAUAAUAUCAAGUAACAAUGAAAGUGUGCUCCCUGACGAGAAAUUACUUGAUGCAUGAACAAAUGUGAUCUUCUCUAUGUUAUGACAUUCAUCAUGGUGAUUUAAUCCAGCAGUCACUAGAUAAACUACUAUAUAAGAAAGAUUAUGUUAAGUAACUGGUUAGUGCAUAUAAAUAACCCACAUGGGACCCAAUUGAAUUUCCUAAUUUUUGACUGAAACGAAUUCAAUGCGUACAAAAAUAAGGUUGAACUGCCGCCUUUGUAAGGGAGAGAAGGUACUAUAAUCUCGAAAUGAGAGAAGAGGCAUGUUAAAAUGAGUGGCCCUAGACGUGCAUCAUCAUCCUCCAAUAAUAUCAACUAUCACUCUCAUAGACUCGCUUUGACUUAAGACCAGAGCAAAUCAAUAACUUGUGGUUUGAGUAUACCGACACUUAAUUUAUCAACUUUUCACGGAUUUACUCGACUAACUAGGUCAAUAUUAAUGAAGGCUUGGAAAAGUAAGUCGAGCAUGAAUAUUAAAAAUGAUCAAGAUCCCAUAAAAUGUCCUCUCAAUCUGAAGAGCAAGAUAACUACUGUGAUUGAGAUUCAUCAUUUUGUACUGUUUACUCAUUAUUCCUGUACUUCUGAAUAUGUGCUAUUUUUUUUUUUUAACGUAAAGAUUUAUCACGCAAUAUUGUCAACGCGAAGAAAAAAUAUUUCUUCACAACAAGGACGAAUUUUCCCCUUCGUUCGAUGGCACUUGAAGCCCCUUGAUGGAGUAACUUUUUGCAAGCAACACCGAUGACAGAUUCACUAGAGAAAAUCUGAUUGCGCCCCCACAUAAAAAGAGAAGUGAAAAUAAAAUGGAUCAUGCUAAUAAGUGUCCUUGAUAUCCUUGUUAAACAUGUUUAAUGUAGAAAGAUUCGAUUUUCAAAAUAUUAAUUGUGUAUGUCGCAAAAAUAGUCAAUGCAGUAUUUUGUUAUUUUGUUACUUAAUAAGUGUCCCAUAGUCACUAUUUAAGUAAAAUCCAAGUAAAAUUUAUUCUUGUGCAAGCAGAGCAUCAACCUAGCAUGAGAGUGGGUAAAACUUACGCAAAAUUGAGCCAUAUAGCACACUUACGUAUAAAACUCUAUGUACUUUGUUUUUUAUUAUUACUUUAGCAAAUCUUUAAUCCUAAUAUAUCUCUAACUCUCCAUCUCUAGUCUUAUGCAAAUUUUGAUAAUAAGAUCUAUUGCUGGUAUACUUUCAUAUAUUCUUACCCAUAAUUCUCUAAUAGAACUAUGCAUAUUUUCAGUAAUAAAUGCUCUAAUAUUUUUUUUUUUAUGUAUAUAUAGAUGCUAUCCCGAAAUAUCUGCAAUUUUUAUCUUUAAAGAAACUUGUUCAAGACGAGGUUUUGAACAAAAAAAUUAACAGUAUAGGGAUACCUAUCUCAUAAUUGGCUCAUAAUUAACAAAUAAUAUAUUAAAAGAUUAAAAGAUCAAACUCAUAUAAGGGUCAUAUUUGUCAAUUAAAGAAUAUUAAAAUCAUAUUUGAGAAGUAAUUAUAUUGCAUGAUCAAUCUCAAAUUGGUCUCAUAUUUGACAAAUAAAUAUAUUAGAAGAUCAAUGAAAUAAUCCAUCAUCACAGGACUAUUUAUCUCAUCGUUUACUUACAUUUUAGAGUAAUCUAUUGGAAAGAUCAAUCUCCUAUUGGCUUCAUAUAUGACAAACGAAUAAUAUUAAAAUCAUGUUUAGAGUAAUAUUACAUGAUCAAUAACAUAUUGAACUAAUUUUUGGCAAAUAAAAAAUAUUAUCUUUACAUAUUGUAUUUAUAUUUACGCACUUCGGCCUCCAGCAUCUUUCGUUUCUUGGUCAAUCUAGAUUCAUGUAUUUUAAGUCCCAUUGCUCGCAUGAUUUUCUUGCCAUCAACUCCAAGAACCUCGAAAUUGAGCGAGCGGCUCAUUCUAGAUUUCAUUUGCAGAACCAAGAUCAACCCCGUGCCUUGACUUGGUCGUCAACCGUCUGCGAAGAAUCAAAGUGGAUGAGUCCAAAGUCGAUUAAUGUUCCAUUUGUAUGUGAACGUGAAGGUUACGGGUCCUAGUCUGUGGAUGUGUUUAGUGUAGACUAUUCAAACUCUUGCGGAGAUAAUGCCGGUCUUCUGAGCAAAAUGCGUUAAAAGGGACAGUAUUGCUCACAUCAUGAUAACCUCUAUGCGAAAUGCUAACAUGAAAAGAUAAGAGACAAGAUAACGAGACUCAUUAGCUUCUUGGUCCCCGCCAUCAUAACAUCCUUCCCACGAAUAGUUUGUCAGCUAGUAAUAAUUCACAGCACAAGUCUUUUCUCAAUAGCAUCAUCAUUUUCUAUACUCCAACGAUUUAAUGGUGACGCAAAUUGACAAUAAAACGAGACGAGAUAAUUUCUGAAUUACACAGAGAAAGACUUAUAAUGUCUUAUGCUAAUAGAAAUUGACAUGAACUAUAAACACUAUCACGAAUUGUCUAGCUUUGAUGAAAUUUUAAAUUAAAGAUUUUGCCAAUAUAAUUUUUAGAAAGGAUAUUCAUGAGGGAAAUAAAACUUUACAUAUGAAAUGGUGGAUCGCACAACCCGUUAAAGCGGGUUGCGUUAUAAAAAGCAUAGAGGCUAUGUAGCAUGAACUUCAUAUGAACAUUACAAUUGUAGGUAGAUUAAAUUUAAGGGGCUAAUUAAGGGAUUUUGAUUGGCGUUGAGUAUACUAAUGAAACAUCUUUUGUUUUUUCAUUUGGUUUGUCCAUGAAGGGAAUCAACAUAGUUGCUGGAAAUAAGAAACUCAAAGUUUCUAUUUUUUCUUUUCCUUAAUCAUGGUUUUUUUUUUUGCAUCACAAGGCCAAAAAUCAGGGAGUCCCACGCUUUCUUAAUCUCUUUUUGAAAUGGUCUGAACUCAAUUUCCUAAUUUCUCAAAUUAAAACCCUAUUCCCCCAAAUUUAGGUGGAGAAUCUCGAGCAUCGAUGAUGGUAGGAUUGUAGGGAGAGACCGCGGUGCUGAUGGAGAACACGGAGAGAGAGAGAGAGAGAGAGAGAGAGAGAGAGAGAGAGAGAGAGAGAGAGAGAGAGAGAGAGAGAGAGAGUAUCGGAAUUUCAAGAGAAUUAGGGGGGAUGAUUAGAGCACAGUCUGCAUUUGGAGAGGCCAAGGCAGGAUAGAGAGAGGGCAAAGUCUGGACUCAACGACGAUGUCUUUUUUUUUUUUUUCCCCUUGUCCUAGGAUGACUAGAGAUUUGAGUCCCAUUGUUCGGUACUAUUUACUUAUUAUACCCCAAUGGCACACGCUAAACUCUUCGGAAAAGCAAAAGAUAUUAUUUUGCAAUAUAUCGUCAAUCACAAAAAACAAAAGAAAAAAAGAUUGUUCACAAAAGGCCUCCAUUCGUGGGAAAACGUUGUCCAACUUUAAGGCAUUGGCCUCGAUUGAGGAGCUUAAAGAAUGACAUUCCAUCUAUAAAUAUGUCAUCCAUCUUGCUAAUGAUAUGUAGACUUGAACCGUCUUUGAACUCCCAAAAACCAUCCAUACCCCCCAAAAUCAUGGUUUCUUCAUUAUUGAUGUCCACCCUAUCUCCUUUAUAUGUCUUCUUCUUCUCCUUGCUCUUCUUGGUCGGCACCACUUCACUUCUGGGGGAAAGCGUUUCCGCUUCCUCCACUUCUUUGUCCACUAUCCACAUGACCGGGAAUAAGGAUGAAGUAGAGGCUCUCUUGAAUUGGAAAUCUACUUUUGACAACCAUAGCCAAUCUCUCCUCUCUUCAUGGCAUGGCGACGAUCCUUGCCGCUUUACCGGUGUCACUUGCAACUACUAUGGAGCCAUCAUCCAUCUAAAUCUUUCCUAUGUUGGUUUGAGAGGAACUCUAGAUGGCCUUGACUUCUUGUGCUUAACUAGUGUGGUUAGCUUUGAACUCGCCAACAACUCGAUCUAUGGCUCCAUUCCCUCAAGUGUUGGUAACCUUUCCAAACUCAACUCUCUUGAUCUUCGCUUCAAUGAACUGUCCGGGCAAAUUCCUCCAAGUAUAGGUGUGUUGGAGAGUCUUCAUUAUUUGUACCUUUGUGCCAACAACUUGAGUGGACGUAUUCCUACCUCUCUUGGAAAAUCAGGCAAUUUAGUCGAACUAAGAAUUUCGCAAAAUAAUUUCUCUGGUUCCAUUCCACAAGAAAUAUGCAACUCGAGGAGCUUGACGAUUCUUUCCCUAUGGGGAAAUAGAUUGUUAGGAUCCAUUCCUUUAGAAAUCAUGAGACUCACUUCUCUCCAUACACUUGACCUGUCAUCCAAUAAUCUCACUGGCUCAAUUCCUCAUUCCAUCAAAAACUUGUCAAAUUUAAGCAUAUUUGACAUUUCACAGAAUGCCAUUUCUGGUUCCAUUCCACAAGAAAUAUGCAACUUGAGGAGCUUGACGGUUCUUUUCCUAUGGGGAAAUAGAUUGUCAGGAUCCAUUCCUUCAGAAAUCUCGAGACUCACUUCUCUCCAUAAACUUGACCUGUCAUCCAACAAUCUCACCGGCUCAAUUCCCCAUUCCAUCGGAAACUUGUCAAAUUUAUCUUUGCUUAACCUCUUCGAAAAUAAUUUGGUCGGUCCAAUCCCUACUUCUCUUGGAAAAGUGGGCAACUUAAGCAUAUUUUCCAUUUCACAGAAUGCCAUUUCUGGUUCCAUUCCACAAGAAAUAUGCAACUUGAGGAGCUUGACGGUUCUUUCCCUAUGGGGAAAUAGAUUGUCAGGAUCCAUUCCUUCAGAAAUCGCGAGACUCACUUCUCUCCAUGAACUUCACCUGUCAUCCAACAAUCUCACUGGCUCAAUUCCUCAUUCCAUCGGAAACUUGUCAAAUUUAUCUAUGCUUAACCUCUUCGAAAAUAAUUUGGUCGGUCCAAUCCCUACUUCUCUUGGAAAAGUGGGCAACUUAAGCAUAUUUUCCAUUUCACAGAAUGCCAUUUCUGGUUCCAUUCCACAAGAAAUAUGCAACUUGAGGAGCUUGAGGGUUCUUUUCCUAUGGGGAAAUAGAUUGUCAGGAUCCAUUCCUUCAGAAAUCGCGAGACUCACUUCUCUCCAUAAACUUGACCUGUCAUCCAACAAUCUCACUGGCUCAAUUCCCCAUUCCAUCGGAAACUUGUCAAAUUUGUCUUUGCUUAACCUCUUCAAAAAUAAUUUGGUCGGUCCAAUCCCUACUUCUCUUGGAAAAGUGGGCAACUUAAGCAUAUUUGACAUUUCACGGAAUGCCAUUUCUGGUUCCAUUCCACAAGAAAUAUGUAACUUGAGGAGCUUAACAGUUCUUUCGCUAUGGGAAAAUAGAUUGUCAGGAUCCAUUCCUUCGGAAAUCGGAAGGCUCGCUUCUCUCAAUGAACUUUACCUGUCAUCCAACAAUCUCACGGGCUCAAUUCCUCAUACCAUAGGAAACUUGUCAAGUUUGUCUUCUCUUGGCCUUUCCCAAAAUAAUUUGGCUGGUCCAAUCCCUGCAUCACUUGGAAGCUUGGCCAAUUUGACUAUAUUAGUGAUUCGGGACAACAUGUUCUCUGGGUCCUUGCCUUCUGAAUUUAAUAGGUUAACCCGUUUCACUCACUUGGCUAUGAGUGACAAUGAACUAGAGGGGGAACUGCCAAAAGAUGUGUGCCUUGGGAGAUCAUUAGUAUAUUUCUCUGCCUUCAAAAAUCAUUUCACAGGGCCCAUCCCAACAAGCUUAGAGAGUUGUAGUACAUUAAUUAGAUUGAGGCUAGAAGAAAACCAACUUACUGGAAGCAUAACAGAAGCUUUCGGAAUAUAUCCACAACUAUAUUAUGUGGACUUAAGCCACAAUCAUUUGAACGGUGAACUUUCUUGGAAAUGGGAGCGAUGUCCUAAUUUGACGAGCUUAAGGAUAUCAAACAACAAAAUUUAUGGUGAGAUACCUGCAAUAUUUGGAAGGAUGGCUCAGUUAGGGGCACUAAAUCUUUCUUCAAAUUUUUUAAGUGGGGAGAUUCCAAGGGAAUUGGGAAGUCUAUUGAUGUUGUUCGAACUCGAUCUAAGCGGCAAUGUUAUCACAGGAAAUAUCCCAACUGAGAUUGGACUUUUAUCUCAUUUAGCACAUCUGAACUUGGCAUCAAACAAUUUGAGCGGAUUGAUGCCAGUGCAGCUAGGCUCAUGCAAAAGCUUGUUGACCUUGAACAUGAGCAAAAACAAAUUUCAGACAAGUAUUCCUCCAGAGAUAGGCAAUGCACAAUUCCUUGAGGUUCUUGACAUAAGUCAUAAUUUGUUGACUGGAAACAUACCGGGAGCACUUGGACGGUUGAGAAUGCUACAAGUUCUAAAUAUCUCCCACAACAACCUUUCUGGUUCUAUUCCACGUACUUUUAGUGAUAUGUCAGCCUUAACUUCCAUCGAUUUAUCCUACAAUAACCUGGAAGGUCCUCUCCCAAAUGUCAAAGCUUUCAAUGAGGCUCCAUUUGAGGCAAUACAGCAUAACAAAGGGCUUUGUGGAAAUGUUAGCGGUCUACUGAAAUGCAAUUCUAUCGAGAGCAAGAAACGCAAUCCCUAUGUUAGAGUUACAAUCGCAAUUAUCAUCUUUUUCUUGUCGUUGGGAAUUAUCCUUCUCUCUUGCACCUUGGUCGUUCUUAUAAUCAUCAAUCGUCAUCGAAGAAGAAUUAUCAGGAGAGAGAACAACGAACGGGCAAAUGAUUUGGAUUUCAUGCAUAUUUUGAGUUAUGAUGGCAAAGUUUUCUAUGAUCGAAUCUCUGAGGCCACAGAAGGAUUUGACUCGAAGUAUUAUGUCGGCGAAGGAGCAUAUGGAAUUGUUUAUAAAGCCAAUAUAUCGGAAGGUCAAACGUUUGCUAUAAAGCAAACCUCAUCAUCCCAGGACGAUAGUGAGAUUGUUGAUUUGAUACCAUUUGAAAGGGAAAUUCAAGCUUUAAAAAAUCUACGCCAUCGUAAUAUCGUGAAAUUUUAUGGCUUCUGCUCUCAUGUCCAACGCUAUUUUUUGGUGUAUGAGUACAUGGAAAGGGGAAGCUUGAGAACGGUUUUGAACGAUAAUGAAAGAGCGGUAGAAUUUCAUUGGGACAAGAGGGUAAAUGUGGUCCGAGGAGUUGCGGAUGCUCUGUCCUAUAUGCAUCACGAAUGUUCACCUCCGUUGAUUCAUCGAGACUUGACCAGUAACAACGUUCUAUUGGAUCGCAAUUAUGAGGCUCGUGUUUCUGAUUUUGGCACUGCAAGACUAUGAGCCGGAUUCAUCAAAUUGGACUAUGUUGCUGGCACCAUAGGGUAUAUUGCACCAGGUACUUUGUAAUUUUUCAAUUUCGCCGGCAUUCAGUGUCAAACAUCUCUUAUUUUGUUUUUAAUCUUCUUAUGCAAAUUUGUUUACGCAUUUAGAGCAUUCAAGUACAAUAUAUAUAUUGUCGGUCCUACUUUAUUUCUACUCUAACUCUCACUCUUAGACUUUUGCCCUGCCUCCUUACAAGGCGUGGGAGUCGAAACCCACACUUGAAACUAAAUCGUCCCCACCCAACCCCCCCUGAGAAGGUGGAGAUUCGAAUCCCUCACCUCCCCCUUCUAUGUUGAAAGGGUGGCCCCAUGCAAGUUUAAUGUUCAGAAAGCCUUCUAACCUUCCUAAUAAGGAAGAAUUGGCAAAAGAGGUAAAAAUUAUAAUCGAUCCAUCUCAAGGAUAUGAAAUUUGUGUUACCUAAAUGAUGCAAGCAUCAAACAAAAUCCUUUGAACGCCCCUAAAGCGUAAACUCCCAUCCUCAAAUUAGUGUUGAAAGCAUAGAUUAAGUAGAAAUUUGUACUUGUAAUUGUUACCCCGUGGGAAGCAAUGUUGUCAAUUUGAAAACAACUUAUGAUCAAGGUUAUAAAACCGUGAAUUCUCCACUUGCAGAGCUGGCUUAUUCUUUGAUUCCUACCGAAAAGUGCGAUGUAUAUAGCUUUGGAGUCGUUGCAUUAGAGACAAUCAUGGGAAAGCAUCCAGGAGAUCAUGUCUUUCGGGAAUGUUCAUCAUCCACCCAAACUCAAUCGCCGAUACUGUUGAAGGAUGUGUUGGAUCAACGUCUCUCGCCUUCUGAACUUUGUCUUCGAGAUGCGCAAGACAUAGUCUCAAUCGCCAAGCUAGCAUUCAUGUGCUUGCAAGCUGAUCCGCGGCUUCGACCAACUAUGGGACAAGUCUCGCGUGAGCUUCGCGUUCAAGUACCCCUAGAAACACCGCUCUCUACUAUCACCUUAGAGCAACUUCGCAAUCUCAAUGUUAGGAAAUUUGGAGCAUUCAUGGGAUUUGGUAAGUUUUGAAGUUACUUUUUCAUGUGCUAUUUUGUUUGAUUUUUAAUCAUAAUGAUGAUCGGCUUUUAAAUACUUUCUUAGUUCUCACUAAUCCUAAUUGUGUGAUUUACGAUGUUCACUGCAGAGCUAGCUUCAACGUUACAUGAAUAGUGCAAUGUUUAAGUUUGGAACCGUGGCUCCAAAAAUAAUUAGGGACGGCUUUCGGGGAGAUCUAAUUUCAUGAUUAUUUCCAACUUUUUGCAGAGCGAUCAGCAAAUGAACUUGCAAAAUUCAUUAAAUUGACAUCUCUUGCCUUCUUUCAAUCGAGAUGUAAACAAUAUGUAGUUUCUAUUACUAGAAGAGACAAUGAUACCAGUAGCCUGUGCACUUUUUUGAUAUAUAGUGUCAUAAUUGAACUUUCAAUUGGUUUCAUCUUACUUUUUAUUGAUGUGCACUAUUGUUCUAAAACAUUCAAUUGGUCCAAUGAGAUCCUAAUAUAUUUUGAUAUGUUUAUUUUCAUUCUUUUAGUGAUUAAUUUAAAUGAAAUUUGGCAUGAACAUCUAUAUAAAAAAGCUAAUGUUUGAUGGAGAAAAUAACAUGGAUUUCGCACUUCUCACUUUGACUUGAAAUUUCGAAACUCUAAACAAUUGGCUUAAGACUAAUUGUGCAAUUUGUCCAUUCACCCUUUUCCGCUAUUUGACAUUAUUAAAGUCGAUACUUUUAAAACUUUGAAGAUGAGCAAUAAAGAUGAGAACAAAAAGUUAUUUUUCUUCCCCUUGUGUACGUUUUCAAAAAACGUUAAUUAAUUUAAAGAAAUUCCUUUUUGGCCAAAUAAUUUGAAGAACUUAUUUAAAAUGCCCUUUCUACAUAUACAAUCCCACCACAAAUUAAUUUAUCUGCAAUUACUUUGGGGAUUAACGAUUUCAAGAUCAUUAUGUUCGCGUCACAUGAGAAGAGGAUAGCUAACGUUUUUUUAGUACUUCGCAUAAUAGCUCAGCAAAAUUAAUCCCCCUGAAUAUCAUUGCUCAUUGCUGACUAUUGGCUCUUGCUAAGGGGAUUUGAUCUUUUUUUCUUCAUAAUUAGCACAAUGUGCUUAUAACCCAUAUAUCAAUAAAUAGUAAGGACCGGACCGAUGAAUCUUGCUGCAUCGGCCUUUAAAGUUACCAUCUUGACAAACAAAUUAUUUUGCCAGGAUGUUAUAUAUACUGAGGAAAUUAUUAUGACAACUAGCAAGUACAAAAACGAAAUCAUGACAUAGUACAACACACUCAGACUUAAACCAUUACAUCUCAUUAUAAAAUCAAACAACACCAUACAAUUUGCGCCCAUUGAAGUACAAAUACAUAAGAAUCAGACUUAGAUAAAUGCAAUCUCAUAAACAAAAUUACAGCCUAAUAAUUAAGAACACCAUACUAAGCAGACCGAUAAAAACACAUUUAUUUCAUCACUAGAAUACAAACAAACACACUGUUAUAACAUUUAGUACAGACAAAAAAAAAAACAAAUACAAAUCUCAAUUACCUGUUUCAAGAGGGGUGGCGGAACUCCCCCUGGGUUGACCAUUUCAGCGAAAUAUUUAUAUUGGUGCCUUUUCAUAUGGCCCGUCCCAUCAUUAGGUCCCAAAGAGAAUUUCACAGCACAUACCAUGCAGAUGACCUUCUCACCACUGCAAAGGUCCAUGAUGUGGAACAUCUUCCAUAAAUUCGAUCCGCAUAAAAAAAUAAAAAUAAAAACAGUUUUUUGGAGUUGGUAAGCCAUCUAAGAAAUGGGUUAAGUAUUGUUGACACAUAAAUUUGACAAUUUUAUAAGGGGCUUUAUCACGUACAAAAUUAGGAUUAAUUUUUAAUCCCUAAACAAAAAUAAUAUCCAUUAAAAUUGCAUUGCAUAUAGACACUUAGGAGUGUUUGCAUCACUAGUAUUAAAAAUUUUAAAAAAUUACUAUUAUCAUUAUAAUCUUUUUAAAAAAAUAAAUUUUUUUAUUUAUUUUUAAAAGAAAAAAAGAAGAAGUAGCGAAACCAGGCCAGGGGCAGGCUGGCCCGGCCUUCUUUCUUUUCCUUCUUCCUCCUCAUUCUCAUUUAGGCCAAGUCCAUUUUUUCUUUCUUUCCCGCCAAGCCUGGCCUUCUCCUCUCUCUGGUUCCUUUCCUUUUGUCCUGAACAUUGGCUGGAGUGAGGGAGGAGAGAGAGGACGGCAAGGGAAAGGAGACCAGAAGAUGUUAUUUAUUUUUGUGAUCCUAUAUUUUCGGACCCACAUUUUCUCUUAAAGUGGCGGUUAUCCGACAUGAAGUUUUUCCACGUUUCGUACCUUUUCGUGACAACCACCCAUUUGGUAACCAUCUUGAUGGGAGACGGUGUAUAAAAGGAACGUACGUUCAUUUCUGACGGGCAACUACAAGGUCUAACACAAAUCCUCACAUUUAGAAUACAUCAUCAAUACGUGAGGGAAUUGGGUUAGUAGUGUAUGCCCAAUAUUUUUUUGAUUUUUCAGGAUUUGCCGACAAAUGUAAAUACCAACAAUGGCUGGAGGUUUGUUUAUAAUCGAUCUUGGCUUCCGCAUUUAUUUUUAUGUCUUACAUUUGGUAUCAUAGCGUAUUUAGUGCAUCUGCCUUGUUUUUUGUCGAGUUUUUGGUGUGUUUUUCGGGCAUUUUAGAGAUGAACAAUAUUUAGAGUUUUGAGGCCAAGUGAGAAACUCACCGAUUCUGGGCAAAAUCCGGUGACCCACCGCUCGAAUUCGGACCCGUACGGUUGCACCGCCAUGAGGAACAUUAGCCAUGAGUUGUUUUGGCAUAUUAGUGUUUGCCGGAGGCUAAUCGGGCGGUGGAAGUUGUGGUGGUUGACGAUUUGUGUUUUGGGAAAUUUUCGUUUGAUUUGGGACCAAUUUCUUGCUUAUUUUCGUCGAAACUUGGACCCAUGUGGUCGUGCCGGCAUGCUCUCCAAAACCCAUUAUUUAGUUGUGUCAAAGAUGGGUUGCCGGAGAAGAAACAACCGGCAAAAUCACGGCGGAACGGCGAAAAAUAGAGAAGAAAUUCGUUCUGGGUGCAAGGAAGAAGGCGCGUGGGCCUCAUGUGCGUGCUGCAGUUGUAGAUGCGUGAAACCCACGCGCGCCAACUGCUGGAGCAUGGGGCCCACGCGCGCGGAACUUCCUGUGGCAGUUGCCAGGCAUGUGCAUUGAGUGUUGGACACGCUAGACGCGUGCGUGUAGGGCACGCGCCCGCGACGGAUGUAGGCGUGUUCUCGGCACGCACCUAUCGUACCGCAACGUUGUUUUUACUCUUUUGCCCCUAUGUCAUUUUUAAAUUCCCAUUUUGCACUUCAUGGAAUUUUACAAUCCUGUCCUUGGCCAAUUUAUUUACUGAUCUGCCCCCUUGGUCCAUUUAUUUAUUAUUUUGUCCUUUCAUGCAUUUUAUAAAUAUUUUGUGCAUGAAAUUAAAUGUCCAAUUAUCCAUAUAUUUAAUUAAUUAGAGAGUAGUCACAGCAUCUUUAAUUAAUUAAAUUAUAUAUUAAGAGCCUCAAGAUCAUAUUUAGAAAUGGACAUUGAUUGUAAUUAAUUAUAUUAAUAUGAUGAAAUUUAUCCACAAGAAUUUUCAUUGUAUUAAUAUGAUUAAUUAUGAUGAAAUAUCAUAUUGUUUUUCUUAAUUUACCCACAGGGAUUAAGAAAAGGUAUAUAAUAUGGUAGUUUCUUCAUGAUGUAAUUAUGAAUCUAUUUAAAUUAAAAACUUAGCCCACAUGCAAUUUUUAUGUUAUGUGAUUCAUAUUCGUGACAUGUUUACAUUGGUAAAACACAAUUUAUGUAUUUUUUGCCUCAAAUUUUGUGACAUAAGCAUGAUUAUUUGAUAUGCAGUUUUGCAACCUGUGAAUUUUUCUGACUUUAAGUGUGAUGUUCCCAUACUAAAUGGUGAGAACUAUAAAGUUUGGAAGGAGUUAGUUCUUUUUCAAUUGGAGUGGAUUGAUAUUGACUAUGCUAUAGAAAAGAUGAAUCAUCUGCUCCUACUAAUUCGAGCACUGCAACUGAGAUAACCCUUUAUAAUCAAUGGGAGCGGUCCAAUCGUGUUUGUUCUAUGUUUAUAAGGGCUAAAGUAUCUCAUAGUAUUCAUGGUUCGGUUGUUUAGCAUAGCAAUGUUAAGACUUUAUUGGAGGCUAUUGAUGUGCAAUUUGAGACUUCUGAGAAGGCGCAUGCCAUGACCCUGAUUAUGAAGUUUUCAUUGUUAAAGCUCACUAGUGUUAAAGGUGUGCAUGAGCACAUCAUGCAAAUGAGGGACAUUGCGGCUCAGCUUAAGAACCUUGAAGUUGAGAUAUCUGAAUCUUUUCUUGUGUAUUAUAUUUUGAACACUCUCCUACAACAAUAUGCACCUUUUAAGAUCUCUUAUAACACACAUAAGAAUAAAUGAUCAAUUAAUAAACUCAUGACCAUGUGUGUUCAAGAGAAGGAAAGACUGAUUAUGGAAUUGGGAGAAAGUGCUCAUUUGGCAACAUAAUGAAAGAAUAAGGGUCAUGGCAAGCAUAAGGGAAAAGGUAAAAUAUCUCCCCAAACUGACAUUAAGAAAGAAUCAAAAUAUUUCUUCUGUAAAAGGAAAUGGGCAUACAAAGAAGGAUUGCAUCACUUUUAAGGCCUGGCUUGAGAAGAAAGAUAAUCCAACCUCCUGUGUUUGUCAUGAAUCUAAUAUGGCCGAUGUAAGUCACAACACUUGGUGGAUUGAUUCUGGAUCUACAAUCCACAUUUCAAAUUCCUUAUAGGGUUUUCAAAACCACAAGAAGCCAAUGGGAAGUGAACAAAGCAUCUAUUUAGGAAACAAAAUGCAUUUGCAUGCGGAAGCUAUUGGGACAUGUAGACUAGUUCUUAAUAUUGGAUUUGUUUUGAAUUUGGAAAUGACCUUUUAUGUUCCUAGUUUCUCUAGAAAUUUAAUUUCGGUUUCAAGACUUGUACCUUUGGGUUACUCUUUUAACUUUUCAGGUUUAACCUUCUGUUUAUCGUUUAAAUCUGAAAUUGUUGGGAGUGGUACUUUGUCUGAUGGUCUUUUUCAAAUUAAUUUACAAGACAAUGCCUAUUAUAAUGUGAUGCAUAUUCAUGAUAACGCUGGUAUGAAAUAUUGUGUUAUGAAAGAACAUUCCUCUAUGUUGUGGCACCGGAGAUUAGGACAUAUCUCCAUAGAAAGAAUUAAGCGCUUGGUAAAUGAUGGAGUACUCAGUACUUUAGAUUUUACUGAUUGUGAUACUUGUGUGGACUGCAUAAAGGGAAAGCAAACUAACAAGACAAAGAAAUGUGCCAAGAGGAGUACAAAAAUAUUAGAAAUAAUACAUACGGAUAUUUGUAGUCCAUAUAUGGACUCGUGUGGUUAGAAAAACUUCAUCUCUUUCAUAGAUGAUUACUCACGUUAUAUGUAUCUCUUCUUGCUUCAUAAUAAGCAUGAAGUAUUAGAUGCCUUUAAGGUAUUUAAGGCGGAAGUAGAGAAAUAAUAUGGUAAACAAAUUAAGAUUGUGAGAUCAGAUAGAGGUGGAGAAUUCUAUGGUAGAUACAUUUAAGAUGGACAAGCACUUGGUCCAUUUGCAAAGUUUCUUCAAGAGCAUGGGAUAGUUGCCAAAUACACUAUGCCUGGUUCUCCGGAUCAAAAUGGUGUAGCGGAAAGAAGAAACCGAACUUUAUUGGAUAUGGUGUGGAGUAUGCUUAGCGACUCCAAACUUCCUAAGUCAUUGUGGACUAAAGCACUUAAGACGGCAGUGUACAUAUUAAACCGGGUUCUGACAAAAGCUAUCUCAAAGAAACCUUUUGAGUUAUUUAAAGGUUGGAAAUUGAGUUUGCAACAUGUACGCGUUUAGGGAUGCUCGUCGGAAGUGAGAGUUUACAAUCCACAAGAAAAGAAGUUGGACUCAAGGACCAUAAGUGGGUACUUAAUUAGAUAUGCCGAAAGGUCUAAGGGAUACGGGUUUUAUUGUCCAUCUCACACCACUAGGAUUGUGGAAUCAAGAAAUGCAAAAUUUCUUGAAAAUGACUUGAUUAGUGGGAGCGAUCGAUUAAGGGACCUUGUUCCUAAGAAAGAUAAUUUAGAUACUCAAACUUCCACCUCAAGUUUAAGGUUAGUUGUUGUUCAUAAUGCCCAUUCGGUUCAACUAGUUAUUGAACAACCAAUCGUUAAAGUUCCACAACCUGUUGAUAUUGAUCUGGUAAAUCCAGUUGUUCAGCAAUUACCAGAAACUGUUGAACAACCCGUUGAGCAACACGCUCCUCAAGAGAAUGUUGAUGCAACAUUGAGAAGAUAUACUAGAAUAAGGAAAUCAGUUAUUCCUAGUGAUUAUAUUGUGUAUUUAUAAGAAUCUGACUACAAUAUUGGAGCUGAGAAUGAUCCUGAAAUGUUUUCACAUGCUAUGAACAGUGAUAAAUCCAAUUUGUAGUAUAAUGCCAUGAAGGAAGAGGUGAGUUCUAUGGCAUCUAACGAAGUUUGGGAUUUGGUUGAGUUGCCUAAUGGUGCGAAGGCCAUUGGUUGUAAAUGGGUCUUCAAAAUUAAGAAAGAUUCAUUGGGUAACAUUGAAAGAUAUAAAGCUAGAGUCAUUGCCAAAGGAUUCACUCAAAAUGAAGGAAUCAAUUAAACGGAGACUUUUUCUCAUGUAUCUAAGAAAGAUUCUCUUCGUAUUGUUCUGGCAUUGGUUGCCCAUUUUGAUAUGGAAUUACAUCAGAUGGAUGUGAAAACGACAUUCCUCAAUGGAGAACUACAUGAGGAGGUUUACAUGAAACAACAUGAAGGAUUCCUUUCUAGUAAAGGUGAGCAUUUGGUGUGCAAGCUUAAGAAAUCUAUAUAUGGCUUGAAACAAGCAUCCCGCCAAUGAUACUUGAGGUUCCAUGAUGUUAUCUCCUCAUUUGGAUUUGUAGAGAAUGUCAUGGAUUAAUGUAUAUACUAGAAAGUUAGUGGGAGCAAAAUUUGUUUCCCUGUACUAUAUGUGGAUGAUAUUUUACUUGCAACAAAUGAUAAGGGGUUGCUACAUGAGGUGAAACAAUUUCUCUCUAAGAGUUUUGAUAUGAAGGAUAUGGGUGAGGCAUCUUAUGUCAUUGGCAUUAAGAUCAAUAGAGAUAGACCUCGAGGAAUUUUAGGAUUAUCUCAAGAAAUCUAUAUCAAUAAGGUACUAGAGAGAUUUCAGAUAAAAGAUUGUUCACCAAGUGAAGCACCCAUUAUGAAGGGUAAUAGGUUCAAUUUAAACCAACGCCCGAAGAAUGAUCUAGAAAAGGAACAAAUGAAUAACAUUCCAUAUGCUUCUGUUGUCGGAAGCUUGAUGUAUGCUCAGGUUUGCACUUGUUGACGCCUAAAUUUUGAUUAGGUUUUUUAAAUUAGGCCUUAGUCUCUUUUAAUCCUUGUUUUUCCUUUUUUUUUCGGAUAAUAAAUAAUAAAUAAUAAAAACAACCAAAAAAAUAGUAAAAACAAAAGAAAACAAAAAAUUGGUAGCCCAUCGGGGCUGGGCGUGAAGGCCCAGCCCCCCACCUUUUUCUCUCCCCCGCGUGGGCCCAAGCCCAGCCCUUUUUUUUCCCCAAAUUCGGUCAGGCCUCUUUCUUCCUUCUUCUUCCUUCUUCUUCUCGCUCUUUCUUUCUCUGCCUCUAUAGGCCACGCACAAUGACGACGAUGCGCUCGAAGACAACCUAUGGCUGAGGAGGGGUGGCCGACAUCGGCCGAAAGAGACAUAUCUCAGGUGCCAUUAUUGGCUGCCUUCAAUGUCGAGCACGCCUUGUUGGAGGAGCUCGGAUGGGACAUCGGUUCAGCCGAGGGGGACUGGUCGACAAGCCAAAGACCGGCGGCCGAGGUUCUCCAUCAAUCGGACCCCCUUGCUUAUAAAUAGUGAGGCACCACCUCCGUCGAUGGACACAACACACAAGCUAGCAAGCUCAGAGAUCCCCUGAGAGACUUCGGGGAGCUCAAAGAGCAAACAAGGCAGAAAUUGGGUUGCGAGCUCAAACCACCUCCCUCCAAGACUUUGGGGGAGGUUGGCCACGAGUGAACCCAAGGAGGGCAAGCACGGCCAAGAGAGGAUCCAAGGUAGCCAGCUCCGAUCACUUCCUCCAAGAGACAUCGGAGGAGGUCCGAGGGCUGGCCAACCCGGAUCCAGAUCUGGUUAGAGUAAGGGUUCCAAGCUAAAAUCUGAGUUUCAGAUCUAGAGAUCCGAGAGAAAGGCGAGUGAAAGAGAAGCUGAAGGCCCUAGCGGUGGAUCUGAGAAAGGCUAGACCGCCACCUCCCAUCGUCGGGUCUGCUGUAGCAAAGCUACCACCGCCAUCAAACUACCGCUGAGCCAUGCCUUUGUUUCCCCCCGACGUCAACACACCAAAUCUAGAAGCUGAGGAGGUGCCGUCGUUGCCUCGUCGCGACCGCCAAUCGACCUCCCCCCACAUAGCCGACCGUCAUGACGCUGUCCCCGCCGUGCUCCCUCCACAUCGAGCCCUGGUAAGAGGUCUCCGAGCUCCGCCCCGCUUCGAACGGUCUGUGCCGAAACUCGGAGCCGUCGAGCUUGUAUGAGUUCCGGCAUAGACCAUCCCUCUUGAUUCAAAGCACGCUAGGUCCACCCCGACGCCGAUCCCAUUGAACCACCAACUCCUACCUUCCGCCAUGUCACCGCCGUCGCCGCUCGGUGAUCCCCCCUAGCCCUCCUUCGACACCGGGGACACAGAGAGAGAGAGAGAGAGAGAGAGAGAGAGAGAGAGAGAGAGAGAGGAGGUCCCAUUCCGGGUCAAAAGUUAGGUCGGCAAAACCCUCCAACCGAGUAGGGUUUGGCUUCAAAGGGGGCCGGGUUCAGGUCAUUAUUUGGGCUGGGUCAUGGCAAGUCAAUCGGGCCGUUUGUGUGCGGGCCCGUAUCUCGGGCUUGUCUGGGUUGGCAAUUAGCCAUGCGGGCUGCGAACCAGAUUGGUCCCGACCCGAGAAUCCAACCCGGGUCGUUUUAUAAUUAAAAAAAUAUAGUAUUUCAAUAAAUAAAAAAUAAAUAAAAAUAAUUUUUUUUAUUUUCCAGAAAAUAAAAAAAUAAAAAAUCUCAUAUUUUCCAAAAAAACAAAAAAAAAAUCAGAAAAAGCGAAAAAAUGAUUUAUAUUUUCAGAAAAAAGAUUUAGAAAAAUAAAAAAAAUGUUUUUAUGUCCAAAAAAAUGAGAAAAUGACCCAAAAAGUAUUUUUCCUCCAUAAAUGCAUGGAAAAUCUCUCAAAAAUCCAAAAAGCCUUAGGGUUUAAACAUGAUUAGGUACUGAAAGGGCAUUAGGGAUUAACUAGUGUAAUCAAAUCCCCUAUCCUAAUUUCUCUGGUUGCACAGGAGCGAGUGUUUCUCCCGAUACUUCGCUUGGGUUUCUAAUCGACCUACUCCAAAUUAAUUAGUGGCGACUCAUUUUUAAAUUAACUCACAGGUUAAAAACUUGAAUCAUUAAAGUCGUGAAUUGGUGGACUUGGGAGAGUCCGGGCUACGCUUAACAAACCUAGCAGAAGCAUUAGCCUCCGCAGGUGCCCGCCCCGAUCGGGCGCAAAAAAAAAGAGGUCGCGACAGCUUGGCUACUCCACUGGAGACAAUUGAGAAUUUAGGCUAUUUUAUAUUGUUUAAGCACUUUACUAACUUGUUUUUUUAUUUUUUGUUUUUUUUUUAUGCAGGUCAGUAGCUUAGAGGUUUAUUUUAAUUUCAAUUAAAAUAAAAUGUUUUGUGAUUAUAAACUAUUGUGCAUGCUUUACUGUUUUAGCACUACACAUGGCACACACAACCCGGCCGUCGGACCUGGGCCACCAUAGGAUAUCUAGGAUGGUGUUCAAGAAGAUACGACCUCGAACGCAAGAUUGCGAUGUAGAGGUUGUCUUUUUAUUUCCCCGAAUUUCUUUAGCUGAGGUUAAGAGGGUAUGCUACCAACACGAGACUGCAACAUGUGGACACCUUGUUAAUUUUAACAAACCUUCUCAGUUAGAAAUCGAGCCACACGUCCCAUGCCCAUGUCUUUGUGCUUGCCAUUUUCUUUAAAAGCAAAGUAAUUUCUUUCCUUUUACUCAGUCUUUUUAUUGGCCCAUGGCAAUUUAGGGUAGGUUUUUCGAGUUCCAAUUUAUCCCGCUUCCAAGGCAAAGCUCUUCAGAUGGUGGGGUCAAUUGGACUAAUUUGCCCAAGAGCGCGUGAAAGUCAAAGUUGGUCAUCUUCUAUCGUUGAUCCAAAUCCCUAUUCAUCUCGAAGUCAUAUAGGCUAUGGCACAUUUCUAGUGCCCGAAGACGACUACUUUUAUGUUUGGUGGGUUCGAGCUAACCCAAACUCUAGAAGAAUACAUCAUCAUUACUGAAAUGCCUCUUGAGAAUAAGCUUGUUAGGCCAUCAACAUGCAUUAUCUCAUUGCGUGGGUUAGUGCAACUUUAAAGAACCAAAGUCCAUGUAUUGAGGCAAAUUCUUGAAAACAACCAUAAUACCUGCCUACUAGCAUUUUUUACGGCCUAUUUUGAAAAUCAACCUAUAACCCAGAAAAAGUGAGAUUUUCCUCCUAGACGUUUUCGGGUUCAUCAUUUUCCCCCAUCAAAGAAACGUUAUAAGUCCCAAGAUGGCAUGGAUAGUUGAUCAGAUUUCAAGGGGGCAAAAUUAUGUCAACAUGAUUUUAACCGAAACAUUCUUGUCCCUUAAUUGUUUUAAAGAAAACAUGGAAAAAGUCAUGCGGGUCUCCCCGGAAAUUUUACAGGUUCGGUUCUUUUCUCACCUAAGCGAAUUUCGAUACUUCAUGCGAUCAUCUGAAACAAAUAGUUUCAAAAAUCAAUUACAGAAAUUUAUGGUUCUAUGACCAUACAUUCCCAACCAAAACUAUAAAUUGGAUAAAUUUCCAAAGAGACCCAGCUCCUGAGGCAUUCCAAUGGUGUGCUGGUUGGUUCCAUGAAAAGAGAGCUCGCUUUGCUUACAAACGCUACUAUCCAAUUUCGUUCCUUGGCCUCACUGGCGCCAUUUCCUAUUUCUCAUAUUGGGUGACACGACAGUAUGGAACCCUUCAGGAGAUCCCACCGCCUUUCAAGAGAAAGGCCCCUCCAUUCCUUUUCAACACAAGUCGUGACUACGCAAUUGAAAUUUCUAUCAUUGAGGAAGCAUGGAACAAGCCAUCGCAAAAAGAUCGUGGUACCUGAAGGGCUUGAGGGAUAGGAAAAGGCCCAUCAUGCCUCUGAGUCCUACAUCUACAACUAUCAUAUCCCGACAAAAUUGAAGUCAUCAAUCCCUCAUCCAAUUAGCGAGAUCAGCCAACACGAGCAAGUAGAACUUAUGCAAAGGGAUUUUGGAAUAGGCUAGAUACAUGUCUUAGAGCCAGUCCAAGAAAGCAAGCAUCUGCAUGAGAACAAGGCUCCCCGUUGCAUAUAGAAUAACAAUCAUGUGCCCUCUAGUGUUAAUUUUGUGAAGGUUUUGUCCCAUUGUUUAAGGACUUUUGUUUAAUACCUAGUAUUAAAUUUCAAGUCAGAAAUUUGUGGUUUAUAAAAUCCUCUUUUGAUAAAUAAAAAGUAGUUAGACCACUGCCAUGAGUCAAUCUUUGUUUACUUUCAUGCUUAUUCAUGGUUUUUGCGAUACCAAGUAAUUAUGAAUCAUCGACUAUCAGCCACCCGCGAAUGGUCUUGCGUGAUAGGGCCCAAUCAGAAUGAUGUACAAAAUCGCCUCGCCAACAUUGAAGACGGCAUAGGACAGAUGUCCAUUAUCCUUCGACAACUCUCAAGGCAAAUGGAAUCCACUCAAGCUACACCCAACUCCGUAGAUGCUUUAAACACCCUCAUGACACCUGCGAAUUUGCCAUAGGAUAACCAACAGGACAGACAAUUUGUAAAGAUCAGGAAGAAGCUGAGCUAGCUGUAGGGGCAAGAUCCCAUGGACUUGUUUGUUAUGCUAGCAUCAAGAUCCCUGAAAAGCUCAAAGUACCUGAAUGCAAAAGGUAUGCUGAUACCUCUCGCCCAGAGACCUAUCUACAGGCCUACCUGGUCUGAAAGAUGAUUCAAUUGUACCAAUUGAACCUGACUGGCCCCACCUCGCGGUGGUACAUUAUCAGGAAGAUUAGUCUCCUUAAAACCUAAAGAGAACUAAUUGAUGCUUUCCGCCAAGAAUAUAAUGUUGACAUCGGUGCCAACAUCACCCUGCCCUAUGAAGAACCGAUGGUCACGGGGCACGAAGAGCCGAUAGCCGCAGAGUCGAGAGAUAACAUGUUUUUAAGAACACAUGCUAUGUCCGGGAGGAGCCCGACCGCCUAUUUUGAUUUGCGGACCACAGAAGAAGAUGUCAAUGAAGCCUUGCACGAUAAAUGGGCGAUCGAGCAGUAUCCUAUUACUGAGAAACUUCCUACUAGGAAAUGCAAGGAGCCCGCAGACGAAGUCAACACUGUUCAAGACCAGGGUACGGUAAGACAACUCCUCAGGCUUACUGCAAGAGCUAGGGUCCAAAGAAUACCGACUCCCAUUAACCUAGGGAGUGAAACUCCACCAUCUCCCACUCCCCUUGACAGAGUCCAACUUGUGAAAUGAAGGGCUUUACUUAAAAGGUCCAGAUCAGGAGUCAAGAAAAUAAAGCCUAAGCAAUUCGAUUCAACAUCUGCCACUAAGUGUAGGCAAAAUCUGAUAGCCAAUGAGCCACUGUGCCAAAACUUCGAGCAUCCCCUAGGGUACAACCCUGAAGGCUACCAUCAUCUAGGGUACAAUCCUGUAGGCUACCGGUCCCCAUAGUACAACCCUAAGGCUACUAGUCCCUAGGAUACAAUCCCGAGGGCUACCAAUGUUAUACAGAUGAAAUCAGCCAUUCAUCGUAUGACUGUCUCCCACCCACACACAGGAUCCAAAGCCCGUUAGAAGAGGAAACAUUUUUCUUUAUCCGCUAUGACUUGUCUCCCAAUGAAUUACUAAGCUUGUCACCUGACCAUGAGGAUAACUUAAAUGCCUCAUCCUCAUUUGGUGAUUUUGACCCAGAAGAAAGCAAUGAGAUGAUCUCGAUAGAGUUUAGCUUUCCUAAAAUAGCAGAAUUCAUCACUGCAAUGAAUGUGCAAUGGGAAAAUCAGUGGCCUAACCAAGACACAUCAUGCCCGUCUUGCCCUCAUAGGAUCAUGACCUCCAGAGAAAUGUGGAUACCUAAUCUCCGCAAGUAUAAUGGCACAACUUGCCUCAUGGUUCAUUUGCAAUAUCUCCAAGCUGAAAUGAGUUGGCACUAUAGCCCGAUGUCAUACACAACUCAGGCCUUCCAAGAAAGUAUUACAUGAUCUGCAUUGCAAUGGUUCAUCACUACCAAUAUCUACCUCAUAAGGGAUUGGAAUGAGCUGUUUUCCGCAUUCCUACAUCAAUAUCAAAGCCAUAUUAGAACUGAACUGCCUUGCAAGAACUUGGUUCAUUUUAGAAGAAGAUCAAUGGAGGAUUUCCGAGCAUAUGCAAGGAGGUGGGAGGCUUUUAUGAUGCAAACCUACCCUCGACUGGCCGAAGAAGAAAUGAUAAAGCUGUUCGUAGGGGCUUUACCUUGCAAGCAUCGUUGUUGGUUGUAUGGGUUGCACUUCCGUAGCUUCAAUGAAGUGGUCCUCUCAUGCGAAUACUUCGAGUCUAUUGGAGGCAAGGAACUCAAAGGCGCUUGAUUUCAGAACCAACACCAUCAAAGUGCUCCUUUUCAUAGGAGUUUUCAUGGGUUUUGCCUGUUUUUAUAAUUUCAUGUUUCUUAUCCUGUCUAGUGUGCUACUGUUGCAUUUUCCAUUUUUAGUAAUCUAAUGUACGGUUCUAAUAUUUUGUUUCGAAAGCAUGAGGCGGUAUCCCAAACCAGCCUAGUGAUGCUAUCCAACCAUGAAAAGAAAAUACCAUCUAAGGAGAAUAUUGAGGACUGGGCUUCCUUAUGCUUUCUUCCUCCAAAGAUAUAUAUUUUUGAAAACAUAAAAUAUUUCAUUACCAAAAGCUUGCGUCAAAACAAGAUGUUAGAUUUAAUCAUGUUUGUCUUUUGGACUCAUUCACUUCCUAUCUAAGAAUAUUUUCCCCAUCCCCUUUGACUUAGUGUGACAUGGGGCAUUUGAAGCUGGCGCAUCAUGUGAACUCGCCGAAUUCAAAGGCACUCUUCCAAGAAGGUAGUGGGGCAAACAGAAAAGAUCAUCCCACUUCAAAGAAUGUAAGUUUUAUUCUCUAAAUAUAAUUUUGGAAAUGAUAUCCUCUCUCUUCUAUUUAUAGGAAACGAAAGAUAAGACGUAAUAGGUACUGGCAUACUGUUGAAAUCAAGCUGUCCCCAGGAGCUCUGUGCACUUCACCUCGCUCCUGCCCAACUCUUUCUCAAACCGAAGCAAUAUCUUUUCCCCACAACGUGCUUGAGCAACUAGAUGUUGUGGUUUCAUCAACGGGACUUCCAGCUUCGACAAGCCAAGAAGCACAGAAAAGGAAUUUCUUCUCUUCCUUUGAAUUGGCUACUGUCAACAGAGAGGAAAUCCAAACAGUUGAGACGGUCUCUAGCUCCCUAUUUCAGAUGAUGACGUUAGGGCCUAGAAACCUCACUUCUUGCUCUAGAUGCAUGCUCUCCCAAGAAGUGAUUGCCAUCAGAGAAUUGGAGGUUUUGAUUGUCCAUCUUAGAUUCCAUAGAAGCUUCAAGUACAUGACUUUGCUCAAUGCUGCUAAUGGUCAUAUAGUCAAAGACAAAAAAAAAAAAAAUUCCAUAGAAGGAAGGCGUUGCAAAUCAUUAAUCGUGUACAUGGGGCCACAAAUGAAGAGGGCCAAUCAAAAGAGACAUUGAAUUGUGUCAAAGACAAAAGGCCGUCAUUGACAUUCAACUAUCCCUAGGAUUUAGUAAAUACAAACUCUGGAGAAGGGUAAUUUGGUAUCGUUUCCAAUAUUCCUACUAUCUGAACCCGCUUUUGACGUAUUUUCCCUAUUGACAAGAAGCAUCCGGAUUCAAGAACCAAGCUUAAUGGUUAAUUUGGGCAAAUCAAAUAACCCGUAUCAAAUCCACCUAACCAGGGUGUAAAAGGACAUGUAAUCCAAGAGUUGAUUCGAGUAAAAAAAAAACCCUACAGACACCACCGGCACCUUAGCCUAGUGGUAUGAGGGAUAAAGUGGUCCAGACACAACCGGGGUUCAAGCCUCGGGAGCGGCAACUAGUUGCCAUAUGUAAAAACUAAAAAAAAAAAUUUGCUUCUCUUGCGCCUACAAAUUAUGAGAGAACAGGUGACCUAUCGGAGUGAAAAGUGCAAGACUUCGUGUCCCACUCGCACUUCAGGUUCAUCCAAUCAUCUGCAAACCAAUAAAAGAUAAUGUUGUAUCGCUCCUAUUUGUCUGACUCCUGAGUGAGUUCGUAACUAACAUGUCCCCUUUUGUCUAUUGCAGGAUCACUUGGCCGUUAAAAAUACGAAUAACAAAUCAAGGAAAGACAUGUCAAACUUUGAUAAGCUCUCCUAAGCAAAAUGGCGUCCCAAGUAAUCGCCAAGGCAGAUGACAAAAAUCCUUCAGGCCUCAAUUCACAUUUAAUUUUGGCCCUAUUAACUGAUCCAUUUCUGCAUCUCCUCUUCUGCAGGGGCAAAAACAAAGAUGCUCGUUAGAUCGAUGAUCAGAUUCCCAACCCCAGCCGAUCCUUCUUGUGUCAUUUCCCUACUUAAUAUUGACAAUCCAUCGACACCCAUUUGUGAAUAACCCUUUUGAUGUUCAAAAUUUAACAACACUAUUAUGUUCUACCAACAAGGUCUUUUUUUUAGCAAAAACCAUUCAUUUGUUUUGAGAGUACAAGCUCCCUCAUAUUUAAAAUGCUGCACACCUUUUCCAAAUGGAUUUUGCAUGAUGAUUUUGUUUGUCUAAAUUACCGAUUCCAUUGAGGAUUAUCAAAAUAGAUAGAUAAAUGAAGAAUACAAGAAUUGAUUGAGCAUGCUAGAUGAGGCGCGUCAGGAUGAUAAAAGGUAAACUAUAUCCUACACACAGUCCCCCAUCUAUACACUUGUGAGAUGAGUGCAGAAGAUUCCAUGGCUGUAGGGUAAAGAGUUCACUCGUGAACGGUAUAAUAACCAAAACAGUGAGGCAUUUCAUUGCUCACCCCUUUGAGCCCCAUACACUGGAAUAAUUUUUGUCCAACCCCCCCGGUUAAGAACCACCCCACACUGGGGCAGAUCGAAGGCGAGGUAGAAUCACAAGGUGAGAAAAGGGAUAGAAAUUUUCUUGCUCACACUUGCAUCAAUCUUCGAGUGUCUUUAUUGCAUAUGAACACUCGCGUUAAUUUAAGUGUCCUGGAAUGAUGAGCAAUUCUUUUGCUACACACUUGUAUUCAUUGUAUAGCCCAAUUGAGUCUGUAAUUUCACCCCCACAUGGAGGCAAAAUAAAAGUUACUGCCGUUCAAGCAACAUAACCAGGAGCACCGGCAAAAGAUGAAGACUCAAGAGUCUAACAAAUAGUGUCGUGCUUGAACUUGCCUAUAUUAGUUCCUCAAGCAACAAGAAUGAAAAAACUAGGGGCAUGAAAAAGCAAUGUAUCUGGUAAAAGCAAGGUCAAUGCCAAUAGAUGAGAAAAAUUGGAAUAAAAACUAGGGGCAUGAAAAAGUAGUGUACCUGGUAAAAGCAAGGCGAUGCCCCCAAACAAAAAUACAACCAUUUGUAUUCCCAAGAGAAGUUGUUGUGGUUCAAUUAAUGGGGCCUCCAGAUGACGGUGAGAAGAAAGACCGGUGACAAAUGCCAAGGCAACCUCCAGCUUUCACCUUUUUACACAUGAGUCAAGCUUACAUUGCGUCCCAUUGUAAAAGUCUCUUCAAACUAGGGGCAUUUCAAUUAACAUAGGAUUCUAUACGUUUAUAAGCAUCGCUCGAAUAAGUACAAGCAAGAUUACUCUAUCUCUUUUCCCAGGGUUCUUGACUUGUAAACCUGGAGAUGAUUGUGCAACAUUUCAUCCAUCUGCUUUGACCUUGAUGGUCCCCUUUGAUGAGCCGCUGACCAAGUCUUCAUUACGGUUUUGACAAAGACCUCUCACAUUGGUAAAGUUGUGCUGUUUGCGAGAAUACUUGGACUCCUGUUGACAUGAUGACAGUGGGAAAUGUGGUCCUUAUAAAUCUUGCAUCAAUGGUCAGGAUAGCCUUUUCCAUGAGAGUGAGUGAAAAGUCCUUUUAGACUGAAAGUCCCUCAUCUAGCAUGCUCAAGAUAUUUACAUUCUAAAUGAAGGUUGUCUUUCAAAAUCUUCCCUAGUGGAACUCAGAUGAUGCAAAACUGACAAAAUUGUCAUGCAUGAAUCACAUUUAAAUUCAUGAAUUUACAGCAUGUACAAUCUUGUGUGCAUAUUGUGCAAAUAGCAGACAUACUCUUAGAGAUCAGAGAUAUUGCCAGGUAAGCAUAUCCUUAUCCCCAUUUGUCUUAAAGUACCUACCACCGUCCAGGUACUCUCUUCUUGACACUCGACCUAUUCGAGUCGUCCCUUAAGUUUGGGUGCUUGCAAUUGUCUAAGUAUCACUUUGUCUUUGAGUACCCACCACUUGACGGGUACUCCCCAGAGUAUUAAUAUUUGCGACUGUCUAGGUAUCCCCCUGUUUUUGAGUGUCUGCUGUUACUCAGGUGCUCCCUCUGUUGACACACGACCUGUUCGAGUUGUCUUUAAAGUUUGGAUGCUCGUGAUUGUUCAAGUAUCCUCUUGUCUUUGAGUACCAGCCACCGUUCGGAUACUUCUUUUCCGUGACACUCGACCUAUCCGAGUUGUCCUCAAAAUAGUAUCAUUGAAUACUAGUAGCCGUUCAAGUAUUCCAUCGCAUUGUGCGCCUGUGGUUACCCAAGUAUGCUUUCUUACACUUGGACCAGCCUGAGUGGUCCCAGAUCGUAUCAUUAAAUACUUGUGUUCAUCCAAGAAUUCUAGUACUUUGUACACCUGCAGUUACCUAGGUGUUUCAGCCAUUUUGAGUGUUUGCGGCCAUCCAGGUAAGCCUUGUGCUACAUUCAAAUUUAUGUUACCAAGAGGUGGGAGACCUCCUCGAAUAUGCGUGGCACGUCCUCAAUAUUCCCUUUAUCAGGAGGUGAGAGACCUUCACAAAUAGCCGAGGCACGUCCUCGAUAUUCCAACUACCAAGAGGCGAGAGACAUUCAAGAAUAUCUUAGGUACGUCCUCGAUAUCCCCAAUUACUAGGAGGUAAAAGACCUUUACAAAUAUCUCAGGUACGUUCUCGAUAUUCCAUCUACCAAGAGUUUGUACUUGUAAUCCUCCAAGUACCCCUUCAAUACUUGCGAACGUCCAGGUAUCCUCCAAAAGUUUGUACUUGUGAUCAUCCAAGUACUCUUUCGAUACCUGCAAGCAAUCAGGUAUUCUGUAGAAUUUCGUACUUGUGAUCAUCCAAGUACCCCUUUGAUGUCUGCAAACGUCCAAGCAUCCUUCAAAGUUCAUACUUGUGAUUAUCCAAGUACUCUUUCGAUACCUGCAAGCAAUCAGGUAUUUUCCAGCAUCUAGUACUUGUGAUCAUCCAGGUACUCCUUCAACGCUUGCGAAUGUCCAGGCACCCUCCAAAAUUCACACGUACGAUCAUCCAAGUACCCCUUCGACGCCUGUAAAGGCCCAAAUAUCCUCCAGGUUAGUACUUGUGAAUAUCCAAGUACUCUUUCAAUGCCUGUGAAUGUCUAAGUAUCUUCGAGAAUAGAUGCCCUGGGAAAGAUUGGCGCAUCUCCCGAGAAAGGUCGGGAACCAACCAGUGUCAUUGAUGAAGAUUAGGCACCCUACAAAUCGAUGCCUUAAGAAAGGUCGACGCAUCUCCCGAGAAAGGUUGGGUACCAAUCGGUGUCCUUGACAGAGAUCAGGCACCCCACAAAUUGAUGCCUUAAGAAAGGUCGGUGCAUCUCCCAAGAAAGGUCAAGUACCAACUGGUGUCCUUAAUAAGAUCAGGCACCCACAAACAGAUGUCUCGAGAAAGGUCGACACAUCCCUCGAGAAAGGUCGGCAAAAAAACUUAUUGCUUUAAUAGGCAACUGAAGAAUGGUUCGGGUCUUGGAAAAGUAAUUCCUCGUCAAGGCGACCAAAGAAAGGUUCGGGUCCUAGACAAACCACUUAUUACUCUAAUAUGCGACCGAAGAAAAGUUCAGGUCCUAGAAAAGCAAUUCAUUAUCAAGGCGACUAAAAAAAGGUUCGAGUCCUAGACAAACCACUUAUUGUUCUAACAGGCGACCAAAGAAAGGUUUGUGUCCUGGAAAAGCAAUUCCCUGUCAAGGUGACCGAAGAAAGGUUCGGGUCCCAGACAAACCACUUAUUGCUCUAACAGGCGACCAAAGAAAAGUUUGGGUCCUAGACAAACCACUUAUUGCUCUAAUAGGUGACCGAAGAAAGGUUUGGGUCCUAGAUAAACCACUUAUUGCUCUAACAGGCGACCGAAGAAAGGUUCAAGUCCUAGACAAACUAUUUAUUGCUCUAACAGGCGACCGAAAAAAGGUUCGGGUCUUGGAAAAGCGAUUCCCCAUAAAGGCGACCAAAGAAAGGUUCGAGUCCUAGACAAACCAAUUGCUUUAACAGGCGACCGAAGAAUGGUUCGGGUCUUGAAGAAGCUGAUAUAGCUAGUAUAAACACCUAGAGGGGGUGAAUAGGUGUAGAAAUAAUUUUUCGAGAUAUGAAAGCAAUACUAGGUAAACAAUAGAAAUGAAGCUCUCCUUUAGUUAACAAAACGAACUAUGAUCAAAGUAAAACAGGGAGUAGGGAAGAGAAAAUUGAACACAAGGUUUAUAGUGGUUCGGCUUAUUCCAAGCCUACGUCCACUCUUCUGCACUGACAGCCCACCGGCUGGAUUUCACUAUGAACAAAAGAGAUGUUACAGCAAUGCUUUCCCUUGAUUCCACAGUGUAGAUACUCUACCACACUUCCUCAAGGUAUCCCAAAAUAUAGACUCUCUUUUGCGUACAAGAUUUCGCUCAGUAAGUGAAUUGACUAAGAAUCAAAGAGCUUCAGACUUUGGAAUUCUUCUAUCGUGCACUCCUCGAACAACUGGAACGUCUUCCUUUUAUACUCCUUUGUGCCAUCAUACCCGUUGGCACUUACCAAAGGAAUUCUUCCAAUCCUCCCAUUGGACAGAAUCAAUUAGGAAGAUCAUUCGAGCUAUUAAAGGAACAUGUCGAUAGCCCAUCAAUCCUGCUCGCCCAUACAAUCAAGAUCUUGGUUUCCAUAAGUAAAACCUUCCAAGAAUACUUCGCCAAUCAUUGGAUCUUUAAUCAUUCUUGAUUUGAAUAAAGGAAUCCGUUAUGUCAUAUCCAGCCAAGAGAUCUUCUCCAGUCGAUAAGGCCAAAUCCUUAAUGAAGCACUCAGAUCUGGAUAGUCUUUCUUCAACGGAUUAGAAACUGUCAAUGAGAAUAGACUUUGAGCCUUGAGUCUGGUAGUCCGGAGGUCUUCAGACUUUAAUAGUAGAGUCUGCAAAACUUCAGAUUAGACUGAUAGAAACGUUUUGUCAGCUUCAAAAUAUUCCAGAAAGAUUUCUCCAACAAUCUCCCCAUUUUUGAUGGUGACAAAACUUUCCUGCAGAUUUGAACAACUUUGACCUGCAAAACAUUACUCAAGCAAAUAUGGAUAUCUCAUAAAGAUUAAUGGCUUAAUGAUAACACUAGAAUCUGCAACAACAGAAAAUAUGUUAGUUUUGCAUGAGAGUAAAGCCAUUCAUAAGAUAUCAAUAGUUCUUAAUAUAAGCAGCAGUCAAAUCCAAAUCCACAUUCAGUCAGUCCACAUCCAGACACAGACACACAAGUCAAACAUCAAAACAAACUGAAUUUUUAACAAGUUUAAAUUCAAAGAUUUCAAAUCUCGCAUCUCUCCCCCUUUUUGUCAUCAUAAAAAAGGUUGAGAUGGGAAUAGAAUGGAGUCAAGUUUGCUUGGAAACGCGAACAAGUUGGAAAUCUCCCAUGGACUGGAUGAUGCCUUCCAGCUUUUUCAAUUCUUCCUUCAGUUGAUCCACCUCUUCACCUUUAGCAUUGGCUUGAAUCUGAAGAGCAAGGGCUUGGAUCUGAUUAGAUAAGGAAACGGAAGAAGCUUGUCCUGCAUUCUUCAAGUUCUGAACUUCACAUUCCAAAGCAUAUAUCUGACCCCGCAUUUCCAAAAGAACAUCAAUGAUUCUACGAAAAUUUGCUGAGUUAUCAGUCUGCAUACUGGCUUCGGCACGAUUUGAUGGAGUAAAGGUAGACGAUGGAAUAUCAGCAUAAUCACGCAGAUUUGGCGAUGAAGCACCAUGUCCCUCCUCUGGAAAUUGAGAGGCAUGGAUGUCCUUUAGAUCUGCUGGAGAGCGGCUGACUCCUUCACUGUUAACAGGAUAUGAGGACAUUCCUCUUUUCUCACCAUCUCCCCAUGUUUCCAUGGCUUCAGGUGGAGAAGAGUGUUCCUCAUGCUCUCCUUCCUCUUGAUUUUCUCUUUUUUCUUCUUCUUCAAACAUUUCCUCCUCUGCUUCUCUUUCUUCAGCUUCUCUCUCCUUUUCUUCCUUCUCCUCUGCUUAUGUCUCUUCUUCUUCUUUCUCCUGUCCUUCUCUCUCCUCUGCUUCUUUCUCAUGUCGUUCCAUUGAUUCUGGAACAGAACAACUCAGCUUCUUCAAUGCUAUAGCAGAAAUUGUGAGGUCAUCUUCAUCAUCUUCAUCAAUGAUGAGAGCUUUUCUCUUUUUGGAUGGAGUAACCAUGGGCUCCUUCCCUUUUCUUUUCGCUGCUGAAGAGACUUGAUGAGAUUUGACAGGGGUUUUCUCCAUAAAUUUCUCCAACGCCUUGUCGAGUUCUUUCAGACGCAUUUUGGACACCAUUUUCAGUCCUACCACCAUUUUGUCACAUGGUCGAACACAGAUAAUUUGUGGAGGCUGAAUAUUCAAAUGUAUGAAUAUCUUUGACACAAGACCUGGAUAAGGAAGUUGGCCCUUGUCCUUCACCACUGCUCUAUACAUGUGGAACAGAAUAGUGUGAGGAAGAGAAAACUUUUUCCCAGCAUUGAUGGCGUACAUCAGCUUUGCCUCUGAGUUAGAAACAUCACUCUUGGAAGUUGAUUUCGGUCUGAGGCAAUUAAUCACAAUCUUGUGAAGCAGAAUGUUGAACGCACGCAUCCUUGAGUAGGAAAUCCUUCCCUCUGUCCUUCUGUCUUUAACAAGUUCCAAUGUGGCACGAGCUAUAGAGACACUGAUGGGUUGAUAUCUCCCUCUCUCAACCCCAAUCACAUCCGUCAACAUAUCCACAUCCACUACAAAGUCCUGAUCUCGGAUACUGAAAGAGAUUCUAUUUGCAUCCAAGAAACUAAGAUUUGAAUAGAAAUAUGCAGUUAAUUGAGCAUAGGCUUCUGUGGAGUCAGAACAGAACUGUUCAAGUUGAAGAAAACUGAACUUUUCCCUCAAAUUUACAUUCACAGCAUCAAGGAAAUCAAAAUCCACACUCCUAGGGUUUAUCACCCCAUGCUUCAACAAUUUGGAGUAUAGAUACUUCUGUUCCUUCGAUCUAAACAACUCUGUUCUUUUUCCUCGAAUUUUCGCUGCAAUACCCAUUCUCGGUUGAAAUUGGCUGUACAAUUUGUCAUCAUCAUUCCCAUCUAUUGGAUUAAAUCCCCCAACAUGCGGAUCACUUGGGAUAUUUGCAAGGGUUUUUUCUGCCAACCCCUUUAGGAGCAAUUUCCAAACUCUCCAUUUUUCGUAAAAAGAUGUACUCAUUCCCAUAUCUCUUGUCCUUAAGAAACUCAUCGAUGUAGCUCAAUAGAGUACCAAUGCUCUUUAAAGCACGGUAAAGCUUAUAAAUAAAAGAGGGCUUUUGAAUUCUUACAGGAUCUGCGUCUUCAACGAUUUCUUCCUCUUGUUGAUGACCAGCACCUUAUGGACUAGUUGGUGGAGAAUGACGCUGCUGAGAAUGUUGUGGGCUCUGCUGCUGACUUGGUGACUCCUCUUCCUCGGUGAGAUCAAAGUGAGCAGGCCCCUCACUCAUUCGUCGUGGUCCCCUGCUUGCGAUCCUCGAAGACUUUCUUGAAGAUGACAUCUUUCUCAGUUUUCGAAAGAUUCCUUGCUUGACUUUCCCAAGAAAGAUGACAACUUUUUCGAAGAUUAAACAAGGGAGGAAGACAGGAAUGGAAGAUUGAUGCUUUUUAGGGUUUUGGAGUUAAGUGAAGAGGAACCGACUGUAUAUAGCUCAGUCGAAAUGGGGGAAUGCUAAACGUCGUCAAGGAAGGUUAAAAGAUGCCUUUUAAAAAAAAAUAACUGCCUUUUUCAAAAAUAGAUAACUGCCAUUAACUCUUUUUGGAAAAGGAAAAAUUGCACUUUUCACGGAAAUUGAAGAUAGCAUAAAUCAAUUAUAAAUAGAUAAAUGAUCGUACCUUUACGAGAUUUAAUAUAAGAGAAAAUAAAAUAACUUACAGUCAAGAACCAUGAUUAUUUGAGUCUGAGAGUCUCUAUACUUUAACUUCUUCAAGCUUCAAGAUGUUGAGUCUGGAACGGAUGAUUUCAAAUUGAUUUUUCUCCAAAGGCUUUGUAAAUAUAUCCGCCAGUUGGUUCUUUGAGUCAACAAACUGAAUCGAAACUUCUCCAUUUUGAACAUGAUCUCUAAUGAAGUGAUGUCGAAUCUUACUAUGCUUUGCUCUUGAGUGAAGAAUUGGAUUUUUGGUAAGAUUGAUUGCACUGGUAUUGUCACAGUUAAUCUCCGUGCAUGAAUCUUCAAUUCCAAAGUCUCUUAGCUGUUGUUUUAUCCACAAAAUUUGUGAACAACAACUUCCGAGAGCUACAUACUCUGCUUCUGCUGUUGAAAAAGUUACUGUAUUUUGCUUCCUUGAAAACCAAGACACUGUCCUGCUUCCAAGUAACUAACAGGUACCCGAGGUGCUCUUUCUAUCAACUUUGCAACCGGCUAGAUCUGCGUCUGAGUAUCCAAGAAGAGUAAAGUCUCCCUUUUUAGGAUACCAAAGGCCGAUGCUUGAAGUUGAAGCAAUGUAUUUGAUAAUACGCUUUAUAGCACUUAAAUGAGAUUCUUUAGGGUCUGCUUGAAAUCUAGCACGAAUGCAAACACUAAACAAAAUGUCAGGUCUAGAAGUAGUAAGAUAAAGAAGUGAACCGAUGAUACUCCUGUAUAGCUUCUGGUCAAUUUUUUUUCAUCCUUCAUCUUUGUCUAUCUUCAAGGAACUUGACAUUGGUAUAUCAGUCUUUUUGCAAUUUUUCAGUCCAAACUUUCUGACAGAUCAUUAGCAUAUUUUCUGAUGAAUAAAAGUCCAUUCUUCAAUUGUUUCACUUGAAGUCCAAGAAAGAAGGUUAGUUCACCCAUCAUGCUCAUUUCAAAUUCAUCCUGCAUAGACUUAGAGAAUUUCUUGCACAAACUUUCAUUAGAGGAUCCAAAAAUAAUAUCAUCAACAUAUAUUUGAAUAAGCAGAAAACUUUUGUUCUCUUUUGAUAAAUAGAGUAGUGUCUACUUUACCUUUUACAAAGCCAUUUUGAAUUAAAAACUUACUCAGCAUGUCGUACCAAGCUCGAGGUGCUUGCUUUAAACCAUACAAGGCUUUUUUCAGUCUGAAUAUGGAGUCUGGCUUCCUUGGGUCUUCAAACCCAGGUGGUUGUUCCACAUAGACUUCCUCAUGGAUAAAUCCAUUCGGGAAAGCACUUUUGACGUCCAUUUGGAAUAACCUGAAAUUCUUAUAACAAGCAAAAGCAAGUAAUAAUCAAAUUGCUUCUAACCUUGCUACUGGUGCGUAAGUCUCGUCAUAGUCUAUCCCUUCUUCUUGCAUAUAUCCCUUGGCCACGAGUCUUGCUUUGUUUCUUACGACUUUUCCUUUUUCGUUCAUCUUAUUCUCGAAAACCCAUUUAGCUCCAAUAAUAGAUUUACCUUUUGGUUUAGGAGUCAACUCCCAGACAUCAUUAAUACUGAAUUGUCUGAGUUCUUCUUGCAUAGCUUCAAUCCAGCUUUCAUCAGAUAAAGCUUCUUCUAUGCUUUUUGGUUCUAUUUCAGAAAUAAGAGCCACAGCACUAGACUCUUCGCACCUUUUGGAUCUUGUGCGAAUUCCUUCAUUAAUGUCGCCAAUAAUGAGAUCUUUGGGAUGACUGGACUUAUGCUUCCAGUUACUGGUUGAUUUGUCAGGUUGAUGAUUACUUCCUUCAUUUGAAUCUUCAAUAACUAUUUGUUGUUGGUCUUUCAGAGUCUGAGCUGCUUCUUGAGAUUUAGACUUUGUAGAGUCUGGAGCAGGUUCAGAUUCUUCAAGAUGAGUUUGAAUAGAUUCAUUUUGCAUAGAAUCCUGGAAUUUGACAUUCAUUGAUUCCUCCAUAGAUUGACUCUUCUUGUUAUAGACUCUGUAGGCUUUGCUUGAGGUAGAAUAUCCAAGGAAGAUACCUUCGUCUGAUUUUUCUUCAAACUUACCAACUCUAUCAUUUGCAUUUUUCAAUAUAAAGCAUUUGCAUCCGAACACAUGAAAAUAUGAAACAAUAGGCUUCUUUCCUUUGAAUAACUCAUAAGGGUUUUUUUUUUUUUUUCCAUAAUAGGCCUUAGAAAAACUCUAUUGAUAAUAUAACAUGUUGUUGAAACUGCUUCAGCCCAAAAUCGUGAAGAGAUGUUAAUUUCAAUUAAAAGAGUUCUAGCCAUUUCUUGAAGCGGUCUAUUCUUUCUUUCCACAACUCCAUUUUGCUCUGGAGUAUAUGGAGAGGAGAACACAUGCUGAAAACCAGAUUCAUCACAGAAUUUUGUAAAAUCUUGAUUUACAAAUUCACCUCCAUGGUUUGUUCUUAUACUCGAGAUAACAUACCAUUUUUCAUUUUGAACCUUUUUAGCAAACUUUUCAAAGUAAGAGAAUGUUUCAGACUUACUUGCCAGGAAAUAUACCUAAGUAAAUCGUGAGUAGUCAUCCACAAUUACUAGGCAAUAUUUCUUACCUCCAAUGCUCUGAGUUUUGGUUGGUCCAAAGAGAUCCAUAUGCAGAAGCUGCAGUACACGAUUAGUGGAAACUUGAUUUAUUGGUUUAAAGGAAUUUCUUACCUGCUUUCCCAAUACGCAUGGUGUACAUAGAUCAUACUUUUGGUAUGAUAAAUUGGGUAGACCACGAACAAGCUUCUUUGCUGAAAUUUUGGCUAUCUGCUUCAUAUUGAUGUGCCCAAGCUUUCUGUGCCAUAAGCUUGCUUCAUCUUGAAUUGAGAUUAGACAUUGCGAUUCAUCUGGUUUCACAUCCAAGAGGUAGAUAUUUCCAUGUCUUCAGCCCAUGAAUGACUGAGUAGAAUCUUUACUGGUUCCUGAACAUAUUCCCUCUUGAAAGUUGAUUUUGAAACCAAUAUCACAUAGCUGACUGAUACUGAGCAUAUUGUAGUUGAGUCCUUCCACUAGGGAAACAUUGCUUAUUGUGAGGUUUCCAAUCUUUACAGUUCCAAAUCCCACAAUUCUUCCUUUGUUGUUUCCUCCAAAUGAGACUUUUCCACCAUUUACUUGAACGAGCUUUAUGAAGCAAUUUGAGUUUCCUGUCAUAUGUCUUGAGCAUCCACUAUCCAGAUACCAUUUUACCUUUUUCUUGAUAGUGACCUGCAUUUAAAAAGACUUAAGCUUUCUUUGGUACCCAUAUUUUCUUGGGUCCAUUGGUGUUAGUAUGAUAUGCGGUUUUUGCCCAUACUUUCUUAACAGGUUUCCAAACCAUAGGACACUCUUUUUCAAAAUGAUCUGCACUAUUGCACUUUGAACAUCUGAGAGCAUUUCGACUUACCGGUUUUACAAACACUUUUUGAAAAUGAUUUUUGUAAAAUGUCUUUGGAGGUCUUUGCUUAAUACUUUCAUUCACUUUAGGAAAAUCAAUUAAAGGAAUGGUUUCUGCUGUCAUUCCUAAACCAGAUUUAUUGAAAUAAGGUCUUUGUGCUGAAAGAAUUUUUUCAAGUUUCUCAGAUCCUAUUGAAAAUCUUUUUGAAAUAUUUGAUAAGUCAUUUUUUAAGAAUGCAUUUUCUUUCAAGAGAUUAUCUUCGCUUUCUUUAAGAGUAGAAACAUUCAUGUCUAAACAUUUCAACUUUUCUUUCAAAACAUUUUCCUAUUGUUUUAGUGCAGAGUUUUCCUUUUUAAGUUCGGAAAUCCUUUUAAGAGAAGUCUUAAGACUAAAACACAGCUCAUCAAUGUAUUUAGAAACUUUAACAGGGAUUUUAAAGUUACUUACCUCAAAUUCACUGUCUGAAUCUGAGUCAGUCUCGGAGUUUGAUUCUUAAUCCGAUUGUGCCAUCAGACAUAUAUUGGCAUAAUCAUCAUCACUUUCUUCACACUCUGUAUCACUCCAGGUUUCUGCUUUAAGAGCCUUUCGAUUCUUUUCAGCUUUUCCUUUCUUCUUUCUUAGAAGAGGACAGUUGGGUCUGAUGUGUCCAUUUUUCUUACAUUCAAAGCAGACUACAUCUUUGUUUGAUUCAUCAUCAUCAACAGACUUGGUAUGUUGCUUUUGAAAACUCUGUUUCUUUGGAUUGAAUCUUCUUCCUUUCCUGUUCAGCUUUCUGGAUCUUCUUAUCAUGAGAGCAAGCUCCUCAUCGUCCAUAUCGUCUUAAGAAUCUAUGACAUCAGAAUCAUCAUUGGAUUUUAAUGCAAUGGAUUUCUUACCUUUAGGAUCUUCGUCUUCGUUGAUUCGUUCCACUUCAUAAGACUGAAGAAUUCCAACCAACUCAUCGACAGAUAGUGGCAUGAUUCUUUGUGUCUCUCUUAUUGAGGUCUUUAUGUGAUUCCAAUCCUUGGAGAGUCCACGCAAUAGCUUGUUUACCUUCAUGGGAUCAGAAAUUGGUUGACCUUGAUUUUCAAGACCAUUCACGAUUUCUGUAAAAUGACUAAACAUGUCUGUUAUAGAUUCUCCUGAUUUCAUUUUGAAGGCUUCAUAUUAACCGAGGAGAAUGUUGAUUCUGGUCUCUUUCACUCGAUCAGUUCCUUCAUAGGUGAUAUGUAAUCUAUCCCAGACUUCUUUUGCUGUAACACAUGAAGAUAUUCUGUUAUAUUCAGUAGGUGACAAAGCACAAUAUAAAGAAUAAAUUGCUUUUGCAUCAAGAGCUUGUCUCUUGAUUAUCUCUUCCUGAGUCAUUUCACUUGACCCAACAGUUUCUUUUCCUCUCUCUGAGACAGAUGCAGCUUUAGGAGUGAUUCAUUUUUCUACAACAUCCCAUUCCAGAGGAUCCUUUGAUCAUAGGAACGCUUUCAUCUUGUUUUUCCAGAUGUUGUAAUCCUUUCCAUCAAAGUAAGGUGGUCUGGUAUUGCUUUGCCCUUCCACCAGCCCUGGAGCUAGCAUACUAGCCAUGGAUCUUUAACUCUGAAGUAAAACACUUCAAAUAAAGUGAGUACACAGGCUCUGAUACCAAUUGAUAUAGCUAGUAUAAGCACCUAGAGGGGGGUGAAUAGGUGUAGAAAUAAUUUUUCGAGAUAUGAAAGCAAUACUAGGCAAACAAUAGAAAUGAAGCUCUCCUUUAGUUAACAAAACGAACUAUGAUCAAAGUAAAGCAGGGAGUAGAGAAGAGAAAAUUGAACACAAGGUUUAUAGUGGUUUGGCUUAUUCCAAGCCUACGUCCACUCUUCUGCACUGACAGCCCACCGGCUGGAUUUCACUAUGAACAAAAGAGAUGUUACAGCAAUGCUUUCCCUUGAUUCCACAGUGUAGAUACUCUACCACACUUCUUCAAGGUAUCUCAAAAUAUAGACUCUCUUUUGCGUACAAGAUUUCGCUCAAUAAGUGAAUUGACUAAGAAUCAAAGAGCUUCAGACUUUGGAAUUCUUCUAUCGUGCACUCCUCGAACAAUUGGAACGUCUUCCUUUUAUACUCCUUUGUGCCAUCAUACCCGUUGGCACUUACCAAAGGAAUUCUUCCAAUCCUUUCGUUGGACAGAAUCAAUUAGGAAGAUCAUUCGAGCUAUUAAAGGAACAUGUCAAUAGCCCAUCAAUCCUGCUCGCCCAUACAAUCAGGAUCUUGGUUUCCAUAAGUAGAACCUUCCAAGAAUACUUCGCCAAUCAUCGGAUCUUUAAUCAUUCUUGAUUUGAAUAAAGAAAUCCGUUAUGUCAUAUCCAGCCAAGAGAUCUUCUCCAGUCGAUAAGGCCAAAUCCUUAAUAAAGCACUCAGAUCUGGAUAACCUUUCUUCAACAGAUUAGAAACUGUCAAUGAGAAUAGACUUUGAGUCUUGAGUCUGGUAGUCUGGAGGUCUUCAGACUUUAAUAGUAGAGUCUACAAAACUUCAGACUAGACUGAUAGAAACGUUUUGUCAGCUUCAAAAUAUUCCAGAAAGAUUUCUCCAACAGAAGCAACCUCCUCAUGUCACGAGGUAAGAUGACGCCUUAAUACUUGCCAAACUCGGGGUUCACACCCUAUCUCACUCACUCCCGGUAAGAAACUAUAGGUAUGUUCUUAUCUGUCUUAGUAUGUGUAAUGUUAUAUUGCUCUUUUUCUGCAUAGGACAAUAGGUCCCAAAUAGAAUAUAAUCUGCUGCACAUGCAUGGAUAAAAUUUAGGCAUCAGUUUGUCUUUGAAUGCAACCUCUGUGAGCUCAUCUUCAAAGAGGGUCAGCUGUUGAUGCCUAAAUUUUCAUUAGGCUUUUUAGAUUAGGCCUUAGUCUAUUUUAAUCUUUGUUUUUCCUUUUUUUUCGGAUAAUAAAUAAUAAAUAAUAAAAACAACAACAAAAAUAGUAAAAACAAAAGAAAACAAAAAAUUGGAAGCCCAUUGGGGCUGGGCCUUCAAGCCAAGCCCCCCUCAUUUUUCUCUCCCCCGCGCGGGCCCAGCCUAGCCCUUUUUUUCCCCAAAUCCAGUCUGCAAUCUUUCUUCCUUCUCCCUCCUUCUUCUUCUUCCUUGCUCCUUCCUUCUCUGCCUCUGUAGGCCACGCGCAGCGACGACGUCGCUCUCGAAGACAACCUACGGUCGAGGAGGGGUGGCCAACGUCGGCCGGAAGAGACAGAUCUCAGGCGCCAUUAUUAGCUGUCUUCAAUGUCGAGCACGCCUUGUUGGAGGAACUCAGAUGGGACGCCGGUUCAGCCGAGGAGGACCGGUCGACAAGCAAAAGACCGGUGGCCGAGGCUCUCCGUCGACCGGACCCCCUUGCCUAUAAAUAGCGAGGCACCACCUCCGUCGAUGGACACAACACACAAGCCAACAAGCUCAAAGAUCCCCCGAGAGACUUCGAGGAGCCCAAAGAGCGAGUAAGGCAGAAAUCGGGUUGCGAGCUCAAACCACCUCCCUUCAAGAGACUUCGAGGGAGGCCAGCCGCGAGUGAACCCGAGGAAGACGAGCAUGGCCAAGAGAGAAUCCAAGGUAGCCAGCUCCGAUUGCUUCCUCCAAGAGACAUCAGAGGAGGUCUAAGGGCCGACCAACCCAGAUCCAGAUCUGGUCAGAGUAAGGGUUCUGAGCUGAGAUCUGAGUUUCAGAUCUAGAGAUCCGAGAGAAAGGCGAGCGAAAGAGAAGCCGGAGGCCCUGACGGUGGAUUUGAGAAAGGCCGAACUGUCGCCUCCCGUCGUCGGGUCUGCUGCAGCAAAGCUACCACUGCCACUAGACUACCGCCGAGCCGUGCCGUUGUUUCCCCCUGACACCAACAUACUAGAUCUGGAAGUUGAGGAGGUGCCGUCGCUGCCCUGUUGCGACCGCCAGUCGACCUUCCCCCACACAGCCGACCGUCGCGACGCCGUCCCCGCCGUGCUCCCUUCGCGUCGAGCCCUGGUAAGAGGGCUCCGAGCUUCGCCUCGCUUCAAACGGUCCAUGCCGGAACUCGGAGCCGUCGAGCUCGUAUGAGUUCCGACAUAAACCGUCCCUCUUGAUUCAAAGCACGCCAAGUCCACCCCGACAUCGAUCCCAUUGAACCACCGGCUCCUGCCUUCCGCUGUGUCGCCACCAUCACCGCCCAAUGAUCCCCCCUUGGCCCUCCUUCGGCGCCGCGGACAGAGAGAGAGAGGAGGUCCCGUUCUGGGUCAAAAGUCGGGUCGAUAAAACCCUCCAACCGGGUAGGGUUUGGCUUUAAAGCGGGCCGGGUUUGGGUCAUUAUUUGGGCUAGGUCAUGGCAAGUCGAUCGGGCCGUUUGUGUGGGGUGGGGGUCGGCCUCGCGUGGGCUGAUUGUGUGCGGGCCCGUAUUUCGGGCUUGUCUAGGUCGGCAGUUGGCCAUGCAAGCCGCGAACAAGGUCAGUCCCAACUCGGGAAUCUAACCCGGGUCAUUUUUAUAAUUAAAAAAUAGUAUUUUAAUAAAUAAAAAUAAAAAUAAAUAUUUUAUUGUCCAGAAAAUUAAAAAAAAUCAAAAUAUUUCAUAUUUUCCAAAAAAUAAAACCAAAAGAAGUCAGAAAAAGCCAAAAAAAAUUAUUUAUAUUUUCUUAAAAAGAUCAAAAAGAUAAAAAAAAAAAAUGCUUUUAUGUCCAAAAAAUGAGAAAAUGACCCAAAAAGUAUUUUUCCUCCAUAAAUGCAUGGAAAAUCUCCUCAAAAUUCAAAAAGCUUAGGGUUUAAACAUGAUAGGUACGAAAGGGCAUAGUGAUUACUAGUGUAAUCAAGUCCUUGAUCUAUUUUCUCUGGUUGCACAGGAGAGAGUGUUUCUCUCGAUAUUUCGCUUGGGUUUCUAAUCGACUCACCCUAAAUUAAUUAGUGGCGACUCCUUUUUAAAUUAACUCAAAAGUUUAAUACUUGAACCAUUAAAGUCGUGAAUUGGUGGACUUGGGAGAGUCCAAGCUACACUUAAUAAACCUAGCCGAACCAUUAGUCUCCGCAGACACCUGCCCCAAUCAGGCGUCGAAAAAAAGAGGUCGCAAUAGCACUCGACCUGACAUCGCUUUUGCUGUGGGAAUAUUGGGAAGAUAUCAGAAUAAUCCAGGUAUGGACCAUUGGAGAGCUGCAAAGAAAGUGAUGAGAUACCUUUAAGGUACCAAAGACUACAUGCUUAUGUAUAGACGGAUUGACAAAUUGGAAGUAGUUGGUUAUUCAGAUGCGGACUUUGCGGGCUACGUUGAUUCACGAAAAUCAACAUCGGGAUACAUUUUUAUGUUAACUGGCGGAGCCAUGUCAUGGAAAAGUGCAAAACAAACUUUAACUGCUACUUCCACUAUGGAGUCUGAGUUCGUUUCUUGUUUUGAGGCUACCUCGCAUGGUGUAUGGUUGAAGAGUUUCAUUGCUGGGCUUAGAAUUGUUGAUUCUAUUUCUAGGCCAUUAAGAAUAUAUUGUGACAAUUCAGUUGCGGUUUUUAUGGCUAAAAAUACCAAAAGUGGCAGUCAAAGUAAGCAUAUCAACAUAAAGUAUUUAGCUAUAAGGGAAUGUGUUAAGGAGAACUAAAUGGUCAUUGAACACGUUAGCACUAAAUUGAUGACAGCUGAUCCUUUAACUAAAGGCAUGCCAUCAAUGAAGUAUAAGGAUCAUGUAACUAGUAUGGAAAUAGGUCCCAUCAUGUGAUUUGUCAUCAUAUGGACGAUUUCUGUUGUAUGAACUCUUAUUCAGUUGUAAUGUUGAUUCUCAAUUUGGGUGUACACAUUUUGUUGUUUAUGAGAAUAACAUUUAUCCUUGGUUCUAGAAUAAACAUAGGGUUUUUUCAUUAAGAUGUGUUGUCACAUAUAGGCUGACAUUAAAGAAAUAAGAUGCAUUGUGAUACAUGAAAGAUAUCAUUCACUCUUAAAGGACAUGUCGCCAUGAUCCAUGCGUUUUGUUUCUUUUCUUUACGAAUAAAGUUUUUCGUGAAAUAAGUUGAAUAAUUCGUAUGAUGAAAAUGAUGGGAUCAUGUGGGAGAAUGUUAUUAUUUUUAGUGAUCCCAUAUUUCGGGCCACCAUUUCUCUUACAGUGGCAGUAUCCCACAUGAAGUUUUUCCACAUUUUGUUCCCCUUGUGACAAUCUGCCCAUUAUGUGACCGUGUGAUAGGAGACGGUGUAUAAAAGAAAGUAAGUUCUUUCUGACGAGCAAAUACAAGGUCUAACACAAAUCCUCACAUUUGGAAUACACCAUCAGUACGUGAGGGAAUUGAGUUAGUAGUGUAUGCCCAAUAUUUCUUUGAUUUUUCAAGAUUUACCGACAAACGUAAAUACGAACAAUGACUGGAGGUUUGUCUAUAAUCGAUCCUAGCUUCUGCAUUUGAUUUUUAUGUCUUACAGAAGAUGCAAAGAGGGCGUCGACCAGGAGUUGGUGGUUGGGGCCAGGCAAGCUAGGGACAGUCGAGAUGCCAGAGGCCAUGCGCGCUGGUGCGUAAAAGUGAGAGAGGGAGAGUCAGCCAAAGGGGGUUUCUUGAGAGAGAGAGAGAGAGAGAGAGAGAGAGAGAGAGAGAGAGAGAGAGAGAGAGAGAGAGAGAUGAAGAGUGAGAGAGCUUGAAGCUGCUUGCGUUGAGCAUCGCUCGCCCAUCCUCGACGCCAGUUGCCAACCUCUAGCCGAUGCCCUUGAGCGCAAGACUUCUUGUUCCCAAACCUCAGCAUUUCCGAUGAGUUUCUUUUCAGUUCAAACCCGCCGUUCCCAAGGAUCUCGGCUCGGAGACAUCGCGAGGCAGCCGACUAAAGUUCGAUUUGUCUCAAACUGGCCCUUGUGCUAUCGUCUUCGAGCUGAGUAGGGGUUUUUGUGACUGAAACUCAUCCCCCAUGAACCCUCUUAGCACUGCCCUGUUUUGGCGAUAGAAUAGCUGAGCGAGUUGUCUCUAAUUCUUGAGUUUUUUGUGUGCGACUAAGUCGAUUUGUUUGAUGUUGAGCAUUUCCAUGUGUUCGCUCGGAUCUAGGUCCGGGUUUGAGUCCUAAGAAGUGGCCAGCAUUGUUCUCCUCACUUUUUGCCCACCACAUGUUGGACGAAAUGCUUGAACCGAACCUGUGUAGACCUCUCUUUGUGCUGAGCAUUCUAGCCGACUGCCAUGCGUUCGUGAUAAUGCCUAAACAGAGCUGCGUCCUUGUUCGAAGAGGGUCUUUCAAAUCAAAACAUCUAAAUUUUUUAGAAAAAUUAUAACUUUCGACUUCAGAUCAUUCAGUUCGCGUUUGUUUACCUGAAAUUUGAGUUUGCGGUUAUGCAUUUUUGUCUAAAGAUCGGAUGUGUCAGUUUGUCGAUCCAUGAGUGUUCUCCUUUUACUGGGAAAAGAGUGAGUGCCUAUUCAUGAGAGGAGAAGUCGGCGUUGAAGUGGCCGUGAGUUGUGAGCAAUGGGCUUGGUAGGUUUAAUGAGAUUUGGGUUUUUGGUCGAUUGAGAGAGCUUGGGUUGGUGUGGGCUCAAACAGAUUCUAGGCCUUAGUUUUAGACGUAGGGGCAGCUUGGUAUUCUGCUUCUUGGCCGAGAGAGAGAUUGGAGAAAGAGGAAGCAACCGAGAGAGAGUGAGCCUUGAAUGAGAGGGAGGGAGAGGAACGUUGGCUCAGCGACGCCUAGUGAAGCCCACUCUUCCUGACUGGCCGAGCGACUGCAGCCGGUGAUGCCACACCCACGAGGUAAGCCCGCGUCCCCUAUUCGCCAGCCUUGAUCAAACUGUCGGAGCGAGGCUUGCUGGCCUGGACUUGCUCAUGCCUCUCUCUCUCUCUUCAGCGCUGGUCGUGCUCGACUCGUUGGCUCUGGUGGCUUAUACACCCCCUGCAGUGUAUGCUUCUAUGCACUGAUGAGUGAGUGAAUGUUUCAAAGCAAUUGAAAGCAAAUUUUUAGUGUUUGCAAUAAUGAGAAGUUGAAGCAAAUUUUUAACUGAGGAUUCCUCUGUGCUUCUUGAGCGAAAUGCAGUUAGGUUCAUGUAAGACUUUUCGCAUAAUUCUGAAGAAGUGAUACAAGCAGUGUUUUAACCGAGGUACUAUGUUUCGCCAUGCAGGCUAAUGUUAUGCAUAAUUAAGAACUGUUGAUGAAAUUAUGAGCAAGUAUUCGAAAGAUCUCAACAAGGACAAACAAAUCCCGUUCAUCCUGACCUUUCCAUCUUCUACAUCCAUCUCGAGUUAGCUACGUCAGCCUCACUACUAACUGAUUCCCCAUUUUGACAAGAUUCAACCCAUCCUGCAGUUUUUUCUGCAAACUAAGGGGGCAAAAAGACAUGAACAAGAAUAGUACAUUUACAAGAGACGCAUGUCGGUGGCUAGUGGCUACUACUGACGGUGACAGGAUCUCUCCUCCACUCGAUUUCUCUUACACUUUUUAACUAUGUUGCAACCCCACAUCAGAAUGCAAAUUCCAUGCAUGGCAUUAAGUAUUUUCUUGGAAAAGAUCAAGCCUCAGCUGAUUUAAAAUCCCAUAAUAAUUUUAUCAUCCAAAACCAUAGAAACCCCCACAUGUUAGGUAGUUGAAAGAAAGGAUCAAGUCACCACGAGGAUUCCUAAACAAGGAAGCAUAGUCAAAUGAAGCUUAUGCUGAUGCCUUUAAUACAACUAGUUUCCCUCGGUUGAGCUAGGUGUUCCAGGAAGCUAAUUUAGACUAGUUUAUCGUAAUGGAACUCAUUUACUUGUCAAAAUAAAUCAGAAACAUGUUGUCAAGGGUUCUGAGGUAAGCAAUACCUCAGUGACCGAGCCUCCCGGUGCUCACGCUUAUCAGUUAUCACUCCAGAUUAAUAUAUGGCUGCUCCCAAGGUAAUCCCUUCCGUGCUAUCUUCUUCUAAUUGCACUCAAGUUCCCAGCGCAAUGUGUUGUUGCGAGGCCUAACAAAAGGAGUAAGUCAAGCACUUGUCGGCCAAAAAGAAAAUAUGAAACGAUAGCACUUAGAUUUGAGGACAUUAUUUGCAGUACAAAGACCCAUUACCAUUGGAUUCACGAUUGUCAUUCCUUUUAAUUUUUGAGUACAACUGGAGCAGUUUGUCCAAAACCAAUGUCGAUCUCAUUAAGAAAGCAAAUUCAAUUGAAGCUCGAGCUCACAUGCUGAAAAUACUAUAAAUUUGAGAACCAAAUUAUUUGUCUAUUCCUCACGUCGACAAAUGUGAAGUCGGGAAUGAUCUUGUUUAUUUGUUUGUGAUGAGUCUAACGUGCUUAAAGCAUUUUGGUUGUAUGAAGGUCGGAUGGAAAAAUGAAUGUUAUACUAGAUAUUAGAUGGCUUCAAACAUAGUUAAGCUUUUUAAAAGUAAAAAAAAGCAAUUUCUUGCUUUUCAAUUAAAUUUUUUAAAAUCUUUUAAAUUUCAAAAAACAUAUGAUAAAUUUGUUUGUGAAUUUACGUAUUCAGUAUUUGCAUAUUGUGAGAAAAUUUUGAAUGUUUCGGGUUAAGAAAAGGUAAAAGUGCGUCUAUCAAAAUAUCUAGAGGAAGGAAAGAACCAAAAGUAAAUUUCUAUUCAUGAUUUUAAUCAAACUACAUGAUCCUUGUAUGGGCAUUACAAUCGUACGUAGAUUGAGAUCCGAGGGGAUGGUUAAGUGAUUGUAUUGGUGAUGAGUAGCUUUCGGAUAUGUGAGUGCUAAUGAAAUAUUAUCUAUUCAUUAAUUUUGUUUAUAAAGAUAAUCAACAGAGUUGUUAAUGUUUUAUGAAAAGGGAAAAUGACACAAACAGUUUAUGAAGUUUGGGCCAAUAUAAAAUAUCAUCCCCUAGCUUUUUAUUUGUUCAAUAUAGUUCUUGAAUUCUAGUCUAAUGUACAAUAUAAUCCUUGAACUUUUGAUUUGUGCAAUAUGAUCCUUGAAAUUUUGGUAAAUAUUCAAUCUAGUCCUUGAACUAUAUGAAAAUGUUUAAUAUUAUCCAUUAACUUAAAUUAAUGGAAUGAUAAUAUUGGAUAUCUUCGUAAAGUUCAAGGACUAGAUUAAACUCCACAUCACAUAUUUGACUAAGGUUUAUGGACAACAUUGAGUAAAUUAAAAGCUGAGAGAAGAUAUUACAUAUUUGACCAAAGUUCAAGAAUUAUUUAUGUAAUUUCUUGUGAAUAUGAUAGAGAAGAAACUGACAUCAAAGUUCCAUUUUUUCUUAAUCAUGGUUUGUGUGCCUCACAAGGCAAAAUCAAGAGUCCCACGCUUUCUUAAUUUUUGUCCGAAUGGUCUAAAUUCAAUUUUCAAAAUUGCCAAAUUAAACCAUAAUCCCCAGAAUGUGGUGACCCCCUUCAAUGCACUUGAUAAAAGAAAGAAAAUUUUCAACUAUCUAUUUAUAAUAUUUUAUUACCAAUUCAUGUCUCUUAGAAUCCUAAUCUCUGCUUUUGCAUGGAAUAUUUUAAGAGAAAAAGUGUGAGAGAGUGAUCGGAUUACCGUAAAAUUUUUAAAUCUUUAUGGAUUACAGUAUUUUAUAUAGGCAUUACAAUAAAACAUGUAUGAUUAUGAGCUAAGAAUUUUUUUUUUUUCAAUGGAUUAUAGUGGUAAAGGCGAUGUAGACUCAAAUUGGAUUUUAGGCCUAAAUUUUGACUGAAGUCCCUCACCAUAAAAGUAUACCUAGUUUAGAUUUUCCAAUGGGACGUGAUCUUAUUCUGGCCCAUCACGUGUGCAAAGGAGACAGUCCAUGACUCAAGAGGAACUAAGCCCAUAAAAACUAAAAAAGAAAGUCAACAACUUAUCAGUUUAAAAAAAAGGGGGAAAAAGGAAACGAUUGCUUCCAAAAUGGAGGACGUUGGAGCACGAUGAUUCCUUUCAAUUGGAUUCAAGAUUGCGAAAUUGAAUCCCUCUGCACUAACAAUAACAUAAUCAGACCAUUUGAAGGGUAGAAUUGAAAAGAAGACGAAAAAGUGAACGUCUUCACGUUGGGGCCCUCCACAUGAUUAAGACAAAUUCAUUGGAAUAAAGAAAAUUGGGUUAAAAGAAAAAGAAAGAUAAAUCCUUCACCAUCGAAUUGGAAUGCAAUAAAUCUUAGUCAUUCAAUAAAUGUGAUUGUGAUUUUUACCAUCCAAUCUAAUGUUAAAGGAUCUACAUUUUAAUUCGACCCAUCAUGUGUAACAUGAUAAGAAAGUUCUUUCAUCAUUAAAUAAUUCGUAUGUUUUUUUACGAGUGGGGCCGGACUUUAUUUGGGGCCGUCACGUGUAACAUGAUGAGAAACCAUGACUCACAGAGAAGAGCUAGCCCAUGAAGACCAUAAAAGCAAGUCAAGAACCUAUAGGUCAAAAAUAGAGAAAAAAGGACACAAUAACUUAUAAUAAUUGAGUACAUGAUAGCACGGUAACUCCUUUUGAUUGGAUCUUGAUCGUCAUUGCUCUAAUUAUUGAGUUCAAUCAAAUUAUAAAAUUUUCAUAGCUUUGGACUAACAAUAAUAUAAUUAGACCAUUUAAGGAGAAAAGCAAGUGAAAAAGUUAAAGAGGAUUUCAUCUUCAAUGCCCUCCGCAUGAUUAAGACAAAUUGAUUGGAAAAAGGAAAACUGGGGCAAAUCAAAUAAAGCUUACGUUGAUUUUGUUUUUACGAGGAUUUCAUGCAUUCAUACCUUCAUGAGUGUUUUAGGGGUUGAAGACUUGGUGAGCAAAAGCAGAGGAAGGCCCACACAAAAUGAGACGCACUCCUUUGGAAAUGUGAAAAAGGUAAGAGGACUUCAUGAUCAAUACCUUCUACAUGAUUAAGACAAAUUGAUUGGAAAAAAAUAAACUAGGGCAAAUCAAAGAUAAAGCUAGGGUUGAUUUUGUUCUUGAUGAGGAUUUCAUGCGUUCAUACCUUCAUGAGUGUUUUAGGGGUUGAAGACUUGGUGAGCAAAAGUUGAAGAAGACCCAUACAAGAUGAGUUGCACUCCUUUCGAAAUGUGAAAAAGUGAAGAGAACUUCAUAAUCAAUGCCCUUCACAUGAUUUAGACAAAUUAAUUGAAAAAAAAGAAAACUGGGGCAAAUCAAAGAUAAAGCUAAUGUUGAUUUUGUUCUUUACAAGGAUUUCAUGCAUUCAUACCAUCACAAGUGUUUUAGGGGUGAAGACUUGGUGAGCAAAAACAGAGGAAGACCCACACAAGAUGAGUUGCACUCCUUUUGAAAUGUGAUCUCUUUUAAAAUGAUUUCAAACUAAAAAUUUCACAGAAAAAAAGGAAUUAUGUGGGAAGAGGAAGCUCCAUCGAGCCAGAAGAUGUGAGACUUGCAAGGUGCAUCUACUUGAGCUUAAAAGAACCGGCAGAAGAGUGCCAUUAACCAUAUACUGAAAAUUAUGAAAACAUUGCAUGUGAAUUCGCGUAUCAUUAUUUGCAUAUUGAGAAAAUUUCAGACUUUUCGGGUCAAGAAAAGGAAAAAGUGUGUCCAUCGCAAAAUGUAGAUAAAGUAAAGAAUGAAAAGUAAAUGUCUAUUUAUGUGGUUUUAAUUAAACUACGUGAUACUCAUAUGGACAUUACAAUUGCACGUGUAUUUAACUUCAAGGUGUUGGUUAAGUGAGUCCGUUGGUGCUGAAUAACUUUAAGAGAUCUGAAUGCUUACGAAAUACUAUCUACUCAUUUAUUCUGUCCGUGAAGAUAAUCAGAGUCGCUGGAAUAAUAGAGAAGAAACUGACAUCAAAGUUCUAUUAUGUCUCAACCAUGACUUUUCUACACCAUAAGGUGAAAUCGGGGAGUCCCACGCUUCCCUAAUUUCGUCCUAAAUGGUCUGAAUUAAAUCUCCAAAUUUCCCAAUCAAACUGAUUAAAAAAGGAAAACAUUUGAUCUCACAAUGACGCCCCAUUUGCAAAGAAUUGGGCAUUUGUUGUGCAUCUAAAGUGGGAUUGAUUGGUUUGGCUUAGAGUCACCUGUAGCUAAGCUGGCGUAAAAAAUUAUUCUCACUUGCCCAAUCUUAUAGGGGGUGUCAACGGUUCGGUACGGUUCGGUUUUUUCGAAAAACCGAACCGAACGGAACUGUUUGAAAACUCUCCCAAACCGAACCGAAUACAAACCGAACCGAAAUUUCGGUUCGGUUCGGUUCGGUUUUUCAGUUUUUCGGUUUUUGGUUUUCAGUUUUUUUUUUCUUUUUUCGUCUUCGUUUGAGGUCAGCGGCAGCCAAAAAGCUUCCAUUUUUCUCUGAGAUUUCGUCCGUCCAUCUUCAUCGAUAAGUACUUGUCUUAUUUUGCUCAGCUAUUGGAUUCGUGAUCAGGCCCUUCUUUUCCAUGUUGUUUUUUUUGGUGGGUCUCUCUGCAAUGCAUCAAGACGAUGGCGGCUACGGUGAUUGAAUUGACAUAGAAAACAUGAGAAUGAGAGCAAUCGAUGAGAAAGAUCUUUCAAUGAACCCUCAGUAACUCUAAAAACUAAUGCUUUGUUUUCCCCCAUCCUGUUAUGGCCGAUCUCGCGGUGUUCAAUUAUGGGAUGCGACGAUGAAAGUUGGUAGUCAGAGAUGGUGAUCAGUGGAUUCUGGCGUUGAUUGGUGGUGAAGAAACUUUUUGGAACUCGGCGGAUGAAGAGGAGUGACCUUUGAGCGAGCGGUUCACUGACAGAGUCUUCCUUCUUUUUCCCUUCUGCUUUGCUGGACCCAGAAGCAAUAUUGCAAAGCAAAUAUUCUCUCUCCAAUUCUCUGCUUUUUUCAGAUAAUUCAAUUGCCAGAUCACAGAGAUCUACUUGCUCUACUUGCUCUCAUCAGCUCUGGUCCCUAGCAUCACAUUCUCCCUCUCUCGCGUUGCUCUGUUUCACGAUCGAAAAACAGAGCAAACGAGUCUCUGCUGAAAUGGACCGGCUCUCUGCAACUAGUCUCCUUCCCCACGUUCGGAGGAGCAAAAGACGACAUCUCCAUGCAACUUUCGCUGAUUUGGGCUCAUAAAAAGAACCGAAUUUUUAAUAGUUUGAUUUUUAUCGGUUUGUGGUUCGGUUUGGUUCGGUUAACCGAUAAAAACCGAACCAAUAAAAAAAAUAUUGGUUUUUAACGAGAACCGAACCGAACCGAAAAAAACUGAAUUUUUCGGUUCGGUUCGGUUCGGUUCGGUUUUCGGUUCGGUUCUUGACACCCCUACAAUCUUACAUAGCCGGCUUAGUUAUCGUCGCUGCUGCUACUGUUCCUAUGGUGAUCUUUUUGGAGUCAAAGAAUAUAAUCCAAUUUUUCUUCUCGACAUUAUGUUCCGCAUAUAUAUGUGCAGGUCCUGAAAAGGCUGCUAAUCCAAACUGCACUUGAAAUUUGUGCUUAGUGAAGACUAUCCAGAAAUGGAUAAAGUGAGAUUGCCAAAAAAAAAAAAAAAUUGUAAAAAUUAUCUACGAUAGCAUUGGUCAUAUCACAUAGGACGGAUGAUGUCUACAUCAUUGAUUUUCAAUCAAAAUUGGCUCAAAUGAUAAAAUUGGCAUCUCAUUAAAAUUAUUUAAGGUUAUAUUGACCAAAUUAAAAUAUUUAAAAUUAAAUUUGUACAAAUAUAAUAGAUUUAGAACUUUUUUAAUAAUAUCCGCUCAAAAAUGUGUUAGUGUAUGAGUUUUAGUCUUUCCUUUGCUGUGAAUGUUUGACAGGUGACUACGCUCAGAGGUCCAAAAACAUCCAACGGGAAGGGGGUCGAAUAGCUGGGAACAAGUUAUGCUUGGUAUGGGGUCCAUUCAUAUACAACAUUUUUGUUGCCAGGAACCUCCUAUGGAUUGUUGAGAGAAGACAUGAUUCCUAAAUGCUGUAACAGGAGAUAAUUGACACUGGAUGAUGAAGAAACGAUAAGCCAUCGGCUAUCACAAGUGUCUAAGUGGCAUCUUUUUUCCCCCCAAAAAGGAAACUUACAUUUAUUACAAAAAUGAUACCUAAAAGAUUCAUAAAUUAUCUCAGAAAUCACCAUAGCGAUGCAGCCGUAGAGUUGCAAACAAAUCAAAAUACAUAAAUUAAGGUAUAUUGUUAGAGCAUGGUUAGCAAAGGUGAACAUAUGCUUGUCCUUCAAGAACAGAUUUGUGAUUGCGUCUAAGCAAAAAAAUCGGUAUUAAUCACUGAAUCACAUGUCAUCAUCAAUGAUGAGCACACCUCAAGAUUUCCAUAUGUAGCUAUGACUUUGCCUUUUGGUGAUGUGCACCUAGGUUCAAUAUCCCAACACCAAAUGUGUUUUGCAUAAUUUCUUUUAAUUUUUCACCUUCAAUAUAAGGUGAGCAUGCUUUGCUUUGCUUUUCUUUUCUGUUUUUUGGAGGAGAAAUAAGGUGAGAAUGCUCGAAUGAAAAUAACCGGGGAAUUCUUGUACAUCUCACAAGUGAAAAAUAGGAAGUAAGUUAUGAUUGUUUUAGACUUAUCAUCUUAUCCUUUUUCCAAGCUCCAACAAUGCUUUGAGUCAAAUUUUGUGAUUUUAUUGCUAUUUGACUUGAUAAAGAUUUGAGUGCAAUGGCGCAAAAGAUGAUUCAUAUGCCCAACCCUACUCAACUGGCUCAGUUGUUGUCAUUGUUGCUGCUGCUUCUACGGUCGGUCUUUCCGGAGUCAAAUUUGGAAAUUUUUUAAUUUUCUUCUAGACAUUAUGUUUGCAUAAAUUUUAUAACGGAUGAUGCAGAAAUAAACCAUUGGCAAUCACACGGGUUUUCAGUAGUAUCCGUGGAGAUGAAUGCAUGAUGGCUUUUUUUUUUUUUUUUUUUUGGGGGGGGGGGGGGGGGGGGGGUGUGGCUUAAGGGAUUCGUUCCUCUCUUGCAUGCUCCUUCUAUUCGUCUUUCGCAAUGGAAAACUUGGAACUUGAAGGAGCUUCGGUUUCUAAUUCAGGAAGCAGCGACAGUUUGAGCUCGAGUCGAACCGCGGAGUAGUGGGUUUUCAUUUGAUGCAUUCUUCUGGUAUUUCCAGCAAGCAAUCACUCCGAUUUUUUUAAAUGAGAACUGUGUAAAAAGAUCAGAGUUGGAUGAAGAAAAUUACGUCUUCUAUUUUCCUUGCAUAUGGGCACAUUGCAACAUUAUAGAUUUAAGUUUCAUCCGAUCUUAACAAGGAAGGUCGCGAUUUUUCAUUUUUCAAGCUAACGGUGCAGGGAUGCACAGCUUUCCAGUUCUCCUUUUCUUUUAAAUAAUGUAAUAAUAAGAAUUGGCCAAGAAGAAAGCCAUUAGUCAUCUUUUCUGUCUUUUGAAGUAUUUUUUCCAAGCCACGUAUUACGUUUUUGUUUUUUUGUUUUUUUUUUUUUGGCCAUAGAGAUUGAUAAAGAAGAAAGUCAUUACCCGCUAUUGAAACUCAAUCAUCUAGACCAAUUCAUACGAAAUAGAUCAAUUCUGAAAUUUAUUGCUCGAUGUGUUGACACUAGAGAUUUCACUAAAUGUCUUCACCUAUCAAAAACCUUUAUUUGAUGGUAUAUGAAAGAAAUUUUUUAAUCAUUUAUAUAUUAUCGCGCGAAGUCUCUCUUUAAUGUAGUAUCCUUGUCUCUGAUUUUGCAUCCAAUAUUUUAUAAGAAAAAAGGUGAGAUUGUCAUUGGAUAAUCGUAUAUUUUUCACAUCUUUAUACAUUACGGUUAUAUAUAAACAUUACAGUAAAACUCGUUUGAUUAUGAGCUGCAACCUUUUUUCAAUGAAUUGUAAAGGUAUUGGUGAUCCGUGCUCCGAUUAAGGCAUCCAUCCUAAAUUUUCACCAAAGUUCCUCCAUCAUAAAAGUAUGCUUUACGUAAAUAUUCUGGUCCACCGUGUGUAACAUGAGGAGAGUCCAUGACUCGCCGGUGAAGACCAGAAAAAGUAAGCCAGGAAUUUAUCGGUUAAAAAAAGAAAUAAUAAUCAAAGUGGGCUCCUGACGGAAGAAAAAACUUGAUGCACGAGCAAAUGUGAUUUUCUCAAUGGUAUGAGAUUCAUCAUGGCGAUUAGCCAUCUAUAAAUAUCUUAUCAGUCUUGUUCUUGAGAACAUGCGAACCUGCACAAUCUCACACCGUCAAAACCACCCCAAAAUCAUGGCCUCGUCCUUAUUUCUGUGGAAGCCGUCUUCUUUAGGGGUUUUCUUAUUCUACUCGCUCUUCUUCGUAAACAUCACCAUCUUUGUUUCCACUCCAUUUCAUGGCAUAGUCGUUUCUGCUUCCUCCAUUUCUUUCGCUCCCAAUACGACCAACCAUACGGAUGAAGCAGAGACUCUCCUGGAAUGGAAAUCUAGUCUCGAAGACCACAACCGAUCUCUCCUGUCUUCAUGGCAUGGUAACAACUCUUGCCACUUCAUAGGUGUCACUUGUGACGACUACGGAUUUGUUGCCCAUCUUAAUCUUUCUAAUCUUGGCUUGAGAGGAACUUUAAAUAGUCUCGACUUCUCACACUUAACCAAGGUGGUCAGUCUUGACUUUUCCAGCAACUUGAUCUACGGUCCUAUAACCUCAAGUAUCGGUAACCUUUCCAAACUCAA